rnacentral:lncRNA from 1 species
CCUACUCAUUUAGAGGUCGACAUGCGAAUCAUAGCACUUCACCAUGACCCUGACUUAUGGGGAGAUGAUGUUAAUCUUUUCAAACCAGAGAGGUUUGCUGAAGGGAUAGCAAAAGCUACUAAGUACAAUGCAGCUGCAUUUAUGCCUUUUGGAUUGGGAUCUCGAUCUUGCGUUGGCAUGAGCUUUGCAAUCACUGAAGCGAAAACUGCACUUUCCAUGAUUCUGCAACGCUACACUGUCACCGUCUCCCCUACCUACGUUCACGCUCCUGUACCAAGUCUUACACUCAAGCCACAACAUGGGAUGCAGUUGUUGUUUCAUUCACUACAUUAUGAUGCUUAAAAUUCUAGGCUGUUGGUCUCCAAUAUAGUAAUAUAUAAUAAAAUGUGGAUGAUACUGUAUUUUGCAACCAUACGAUGAUAUAUGGUUUGGGGAUUUCAUGUUUUGGCAACAGGAUUAUAUGCUUUUUUUUUUUUUUGUUGAUAUUGUUAAAGGUUAAAAGGGUAUUACAGCAAACAUCGCCACCGCAGGAGCAGGCCCUACAGUCCUGUGAAUAACAUAAUUAGGUGUCUUUCUUCCAUUACUACUGCAGUAGUGAGGUUUUUAUUCCACUUAGUUCCAUUCUUCCGGAGUGUCUGCUUGAAACACACACUCCUGGAGCCGGCCAUUACAUUGCUUGUUUAGCUUUCAUGGAAGGCUCGAAGCUCAUUAGACCAGAAACAUUGUUCCUUUGCCUAUGUAUCUUUUUGACAUAUUCUCUUAAGGAAGAGCUACUUAUAUCAAGGCUCCAUCUUUCUGAGUUGCAAGGCAAAAGUCCGUUCUCCAUGAAAAACCUACCCAUUUCCACUAAGUCCCCGUUCUCCUUUGCUUCUCAGAUGACUUUUGCAAUAAAAAGUCCUUUUCCCUUAAAAGCAAUGGAGAAUAGACACCAUUUUAGAAUAAUUUUUAGCUUAAAAAAAGUAUUUUUUGGUAGAUGGAGAAGUUGAAAAUUUUAACUUUUCUUCAGCCAAAAGUGAUUUUGGGUGAUAAUUUCCUUUUUUAACCUAUCUUCUCCCAAAAAAGUUUUUUUCUCUGGUUCUUUGGAGCUAAACCUAUACCCAUUUUUUUCACAUUUUCUCUUUCAAAGUUCUUUCUUCUGGUUCUUUAUUCCUCUUCUGCCGGUGAGUUUCUUUUCUUCUUCUUCUUCUCUUUAAUUAUUCAUUAUACUUUAGUUUUUAGUUGUUUUCUGAUUGUUUGAUUUUUAUAGAAAUUUUACAGAAAUUAAUUGACUGAUUUUACAGAAAUUCUAUCUCCUUAAAAUCAUUUUAGAAAGUUUCAGAAGAUUACAGGAAACAAAGAAGCAAAAGAAACACAAAGCAAAAUAUUAUUAUUAGUAAUGCAUGCGAUUAGAAUCAUGAAAAGUAACUCUUCCAAAAGAAAAAAAAAGAGGGAAAAUUCUGGCUUAGUUGUAUGGUCAAAGCAAAAAAAAAAAAAAAAAUCCCCCAAAACUUCAAAGGAGUGUCAAACAUGAACUCUGAGAUGUGUAGGCCCUACCAUUUAAAAGUUCAAACAGGAAUCUUUGUUGACUUGGUUGGGACUUAAACAAACUAAAAGAUUCAAGUUAUGUUGCUUACAUUGAUUCUUUGAGUCAUUGUAAGCAUGGAGAUAAUCACUGAUCAAAUAAGGAGGCAUAAAUAGCACUUACGGUGUCAUUGUUGCCUCUUUUGCUUUACUGCUUUGCUCUGUUUUGUGCCUCUGCUGCUUUGCUCUGCUUUGCUUUACUGAUUGUUAGAUACCCAGGAGUGUUUAGAGUUAAACCUACAGGCCCAAACUAUUUUAGUUGAUGAAAAUAAAAGAAAUAUAGACUAAAUAUUUGAAUAUUUAAUAGAUUAAAUACUGAUUGUUUUACUGAUUAAAUACUAUUUUAGAGUUUACUGAUUACUUUACUGAUUGCUAGAUCCCCAAGAGUGCAUAUCAAUUUGGUUGCCGAUACAUAUUACGCUCUAUUCACUUCUAUAUGAUAGAUUGAAUAUUUAAAGGAGAGAAUAAUACUAAACUUAACUAUAGACUUUAAGUGCAUAUUGAGAGGAGACUGCUAUAAACAUGCAUUAGAGGUUGAUUAGAAAAAUAGAGCAAUUUUGAGUAAUGGAGAUCUAAGUCACAUAGAGAAUUCAAUUAAUAAUAGAUGAAGAGAGUUAUGGACCUGCUAAACUGUUAGGAUUGUCUUCAGAUCACUGAACCACCAAGCAAUUCUUAUUGAUCUUAUACCUGAAAAGACAUUAAUGAGUUCCAACCUGUCUCUACAGGCACAAGUAUGAACAAAUACAAAAAAAAAAAGGAAAAAAAAAAGGAAUUUUAAUUUAUACCAAUGCAUGCUGGGAAAUAUAUGCCUUCAUUCAAUAUAAGAGCUAAUAUACACAACCACUGCCUACAACUAUAUGCAUGGUCAAGCAAAUACUUUAUCAGUAUACAUACAUAGGCCCUAACAAUUUGAAGGCCAUACAUGCUAUAACCCACAUGCAGAGUGUUGUUCAUCACAAAAAGGAAUGCAAAUAGUAAAGUUUAAUACCAAUUUUUAACCCUUUGAAAUGUCGGUAACAUAUCAACAAAAGUGAACCUUCAACAAAAAAGAUGCCACUAACCUCUCCACAAAAUAGGAUGCAAUAGAACCAGUAACAGCAUGUGCAGGAGCUAGCUUUCCAAGCUUUUCCUCCAAACCUGGAGUUGUAGCCUGUAAUAGAAUUAAAGUUCAACAAUACCAUUAUUCAUUGAUUAACAUCGAAAAUAACAACCUUAACAUAAGAAAAAUCAAUGAAAAAAUUCAAAGAUUGAUAAAUAAACUACAAACCUCCACUGCAGCUUUAGACCAAGCCCUUUGCUUUAUAUCCAUCAAGUUCAUCCCUACACCAUCAGUUGUAUCAAUACAAGCAUAAGCCCCUAAGAAUAGACAUGCCAUGAAAGAGCUAACAAGAGAGAUCCUCUCAGUGUCCUCAUAAGUUUCUUGUUGUGUCUCAAAUAUCUUCCGAAUUUGUGGUCCUGUAUAUCUCUCAUAAGCAUGAGAACCAGUAAUUUUAGACAACUCCAAUGCACCACUGACAGCUUUCUUUAUUUCUAUACACUGAGCAGUUGUGCUGCAGUCCAUCCAUAUCGGUGAUUCCUUCGGUUGCUUAUAGGCUUUAUAGGCUUACAAGAGUUAGUGUCUUAUAUGCUUAUUGUUGUCUUAACAUACCAAGGAGUUACUCUUCCUACAUUAAAAUGCCUGUAAAUCACAAGGAAAUGUUGUUGAUUGAUAAGUCAUUCAUUAUGCCUCUCGUUUGUUGUUACACUGCUAAUUUUUUAUGCUUUUGUUUUCUGUAAUGUGUAAGCUAUUAAAACUACAAUAAUAACGAACGCAAAAUGAUUGAAUGAAAUACUGUAAAUCACAGUAUGCUUUUUUUUUAUGCUUUAUCCUUAAGUUGUUUCCAUGCACUGCCCUGCUUUGUUUCCUUUCUACCAAUUGAUUUCAUGACAUAAAUGUACUAUAAAAAUUAGUAUAUAUGAGUGAACUCAUUUGAUUUAUUUAUUUGACGUUUCCAAUUUUCCAUAAAUAUCAGUAGUUGCAUUUGUCUCCAAGUACACUUUAGGUUUUUUCAAUUAUAAAUUCUUUAUUCUAUGGAUGAGAAUGGAUUUUUGAGUGAAUUUAUUGAUAAAAUCAGUAGUUAGUACAAUAUCUUUUGUAAAUGAUUGAUUUGGUUUAAUUUAUUUCCCCUUGACCUUUUUGUGAUUCAAGUGAUAGCUUUGCUCCUGCAGUUCUGUCUUUGGUUCUAAGGUUUCAUUUGUGAAUGUUAUUUGAAUCAAUUUAAUAUAGUAGUAUGGUAUUUUUGUGUUCUGUUGCAGGUUCUUUUCACCUACAAUAAACUACUUGACUUCAAAAGGGCACAAUCUUUACCUACCCUUGGUUCUUGGACUUGACAAAGUAAAUCCCAGGUUUGUGAGCUUAUUACGUUUCUUUCAUUGCUUCUGCCUUGGAUUCUGAAUAGUUGGAUAUAGUUAAUAUUUUGAUACACAUGUAAACAAAUAUACUUAUGUGACAUUUGAUUUUCUUGACUGCUUAACUGGCUGAAACGGAUCUAUUCGUAUACACAAUAGAUGAGUACUUCGGCAGUUGAAGUUAGUGGUGAAAAAGUAAAAGCAAUGUGGGAUAAGAGAUUGACAGAAAUAUUUUGUGAUAUUUGUAUUAAAGAGAUACUAAAAGACAAUAGGCCUGGUACUCAUUUCACAAAAGAUGGAUGGUUGAAAAUAAUGACCAACUUUGAGAAAGAAACGGGCAAGUGUUUUUCACAAAGACAACUUAAAAAUAGGUGAGAUGCCCUAAAAAAAGAAUGGAAAGCUUGGAAGAAACUUAAAGGCGACGAUAAUGGUCUAGGGUGGAAUCCUAUAAAAAGAACCGUUGAUGCAUAAGAUGAUUGGUGGGAGAGUAGGAUACAAGUACAUUGAUAAUUCUAAAUAUUUUUUGUUUUUUUUUCUUAUUUAUGAGGUUAUUGAUAAUUACUGUUAUUAAACUAUCAUUUUAUAUGUAGGUUGUGCCUGAAGCUCAAAAAUUUAGAACAUCGGGCAUUGAUCCUGAAUUCAAAGGGAAGUUGGACCAAAUGUUAAUGGGGAUAGUUGCAACAUGUGGUAAAGCAUGGGCACCAGGUGAUAAAGUAUGGGCACCUUCUUCUGGUACACUCCGUAGUGAUUUUUUUGAGGAUGUUAACAACGAAAUACCUAAAGAGAAUGAAGAAGAAAAUAUCAGAAAUGAUGUUCACAUUUUAAAUGAUGUUCACAUUUCAAAUGAUGUUCAAUUUGAUGGAAACGAUCAAAAAAGAAAAAAUCCUGAGAUAUCAAUGUUGACACCAUUUUUUUGAUAAAACGGGAUCGACUUAGGUUUUAGAAACGAAAACGAAAACGGAAGUCUCCACCAAUCCUUUUUGAUGAGGUGUGAUCGGGUCACCUCGUAAAGUGGUUGUUUUUAAUAAACAAUUUGAUUUUUAUGAAAAACAACGAUUUUGGUCCACGAAAUUCAGAAAAAUGGGUUUGGGAGUCGAUUACGUACGAGGAAGGAUUAGCACCCUCGUAACGCCCAAAAUUGGUACCUAGUUGAUUAAUUAAUGUCUUAGUGUCGAAGAUUGAAAAUUUUAAAGAAAUUUAAAAUACGAUCUUUUAUUGAAAUGUUGAAAAUUUUCGGGAAAGGCAUAUUUCACGUUAAUCGAGAAAGAGAAUUAUAUCCAAUAAGUUAGGACAUAAUGUCUUGAAUUUCUGAUACGCGAAUGAAUACCAAAAAUCUGCUUAUUUAAAAGAUAUUUAGCUAUCUCGGUUUCAAAAAAGAGAUCAUGCCCAGUAAGUUAAGACAAGAUCUUUUCUUAAUUCCCGAGAUCAUUUAAAACUUUGUUUGAAAUGAUUCGCGUAUUUAGAUUUAUCGAGAAAAUUGAAACCCCGUAAGUUAGGGUAUAAUUUUUCGAAUAUCAAAAUACGAAAAAUAAUUUUUGAUAUAUCGAGUAAAGUAAAACACGAUGUCGUAAAAAAUGCGAAAACAAAUUAUAUAGGAUACGCAUACGAAACAAUAAUGAAUAUGAAAGUGUAACAUAAUACGAAUGAUAGUGACAAAAACAUGAUAAAAAGGACGAAUCAAUAGCAUGCCAAAUAACUAGUGUAUAAGCAAAAUAAAAGUGAAAUAUUUUUAAAAUAAUAAUGAAAGCGUGAAUAAAUAGAUAAUAAUUGAAUUAUAAUUAUAAAAAAAAAGCAAUAGGAUAUAUGUAUAUGUAUAUGUAUAUGUAUAUGUAUAUGUAUAUGUAUAUGUAUAUAAAGUAUAAGAUAUAAUAAGGAAUAUGCAAGCAUGUAUAUAUAUAUAUGAAAAUUAAAAAUAUGUAUAUAAAGAUAUAUAGAUAAAUAAGAUAUAAAGUAUAUAGAUGUGAAAAUGAAAAAAUACGUAUAUAAAGAUAUAUAUAUAUAUAUAUAUAUAUAGUAUAGAAUAUAAUAAGUAUAUANNNNNNNNNNNNNNNNNNNNNNNNNNNNNNNNNNNNNNNNNNNNNNNNNNNNNNNNNNNNNNNNNNNNNNNNNNNNNNNNNNNNNNNNNNNNNNNNNNNNCAAAAGUAAAGAAUAUUCAAUUGAAAACACAGUGAAAAGCGGAAGGAAUAGGGUAGCAAUUAUACCCUAGUCACAAAACACGCGGAUCCUUCAGGUAAUGGGUCGGGUCACGCGUGGGUCGCGCGAAACGGCGCCGUUUUGGCGCUGAGGCCCCCAUGUGAAACAACGACGUUUUUCAUUUGGUAUAAAUGUUUAAAAAAACCCUAAAAAAUUAGAUUCAUCCCCUUUUUUUAAAAAAAAAAAUCAGAGAGCCAAAGCUCUCUCUCAAACCCCAAAUCUGUCCACAGUUGCCGGCUGUCCGUCCAUCGGACUGGCGCCGUGGCCGGUGGCCGACGACGGACCAAAUGUGCUUUUGAGCCCCGUUUUCGACGAUUUGAAGGCCAAUCCUUCUCAACCAAGAAGAAAACCGAAAGAAAAGACCCUCACCCCCUUUUAAGGCCGAUUUUGACGACGGAGAGAGGAUCCCCGACAACGUGGCCGCGGGACAUCUCAGGUGAGCCUUUAUUUUUCCUUUUUAUCUUUGUAGGUAGAAAUAAAAAUAAAUAAACAAAAAAAAAGUCAAGAACAAAAUAAAUAGAAAUAACAACCGAAAAUCACCUUUGAAGUUUUGUUUUUUUUAUUUAUUUUCUAAUAUGUCUGUAGUAAAAAAAAUACAUUGACUUGGUGAUGGCUUUUUCUAGCCGAAAUUGAUACAACAUUUUUUCUUUGUUUGUUGCUUGCGUUUUUGUUCUUUUCUUGCAGGUGAUUGACGGGCGCAAGUGGCAGAGGCGAUGAAGUGACCGUGGCGGUGGCGGCAGGUCAAGUGUGAGAAGACCCUAGGUGCGGCGCACCUAGGGUUAGGGUUUCCAGACCCUUUUUCUUGCUUUGGGCCGUGGGAAAUUGUGUUGGGUUGUAUUUGGGUCCGUUUGGGUUAGGGGUAGAUUUGGGCUUACUUUUGGUUUGGGUUAUUUUGUGUUUUAUUUGUUUGUAAUGGCCCCGGGUGAAAUUGGGCUUCUACAGCUGCCCCUCUUUGCUCGUUGUCGUGUAACAAGAACAGAGCAAAGACUAAGAAAGACCAAUUUCGCCCGGUCUCGUUAAUGCUCUAGUGCUUCUCUUCUUCAAGUAGCCUCCUUCUAAUCCACUGUGUCUUGUUGCUUUGAUCUACUCCACUGCACUUCAGAGAGAUACGACUUGCAGCUUCAAUCCACUCUGCUGCAACUUCAGGGGGACGAGAUUCGUGGUUUUAGUCUGCCCUACUGCAACGUCAGGGAGAUAAGACUUGAUGUUUCAACCUGCUCCACUGUGACUCUAGGGAGAUAAGGUCUUAAUAUGAUAAGAUCCAUUAUCAACAGUCUGCUCCACUACGACUUUAGGGAGAUAAGACUUGUAGUCGGUCUUCAAUUUGCUCCACUACUUCUUCAUGGAAAUAAGACUUAUAUCUUCAACCUGCUCCACCGCAACUUCGGGGAGAUAAGGUUUGCUAUCUUCAGUCUGCUCCACUGUAACUUCAAGGAGAUAAGACUCGUAAUGUCAACCUGCCCAACUGCAACUUCAGGGAGAUGAAGUUUGAUAUGAUCUACUCUACUAUAACUUCAGAGAGAUACGAUCAGUAAUUUAUAACUUCAAUCUGUUCCACUGCAACUUUAGGGAGAUAAGAUUCGUAAUUUCAACCUGCCUCACUGCAACUUCAGGGAGAUGAUGUUUGAUAUGAUCUGCUGUACUAUAAUUUUAGAGAGAUAAGAUAUGUAGUUUAUAGCUUCAAUCUGUUCCACUGCAACUUCAGGGAAAUAAGACUCGCUAUCUUUAGUCUGUUCCACUGCAACUUCAGGAAGAUAAGACUCGUAAUUUCUAAUAAAGUCCGAUGUGAUCCGUUCUACUGCAACUUCAGAGAGAUAAGAUUCAUCAUUUUGACCCGCUCCACUGCAACUUCAGGGAGAUAGGACUUAUAUCUUCUACUUGCCCUACUGGAACUUUAGGGGGAUAAUGUUAGUAACUUCAACCUGCUCUACUGCAAUUUUAGAGAGAUAAGGUUUGUUAUUUCAAUCUACUCUACUGCAACUUCAGAGAGACAGGGUUUGUAAUUUAUAGCUUCCAUCUAUUUCACUACAACUUCAAUGGAAUAAGACUUGCUAUCUUCAGUCUACUCUACUGCAUCCUCAGCAAGAUAGAACUUGUGGCUCCAAUAAAGUCUGAUGCGAUCUGUUCUACUACAACUUCAGAGAGAUAAGAUCCAUCAUUUUAACCUGCUCCACUGCAACUUCAGGGAGAUAAGGUUUGUUAUCUUCAACCUACUCCGCUACUACUCAGGGAGAUAAGACUAGUGAUUUCGAUCUGCUUCACUGUCAGUACAGGAAGACAAGAUCUACAACCUUCGACCUACUUCACUGCUACUCAGGGAGAUAAGACUAGUGGCUUAAAUUUGCUUCCCUACUACCUUGGGAAGAUAAGAUUCGCCGUCUUCGAUCUGCUCCACUACUGCUUAGGGAGAUAGGAUCUGUAAUUUUCAACCUACUCUGCUACUGCUUAGGGAGAUAAGGCUAGUGCUUUCGAUCUGCUUCACUGCCAGUACAGAAAGACGAGAUCUGCUACUCUUAGUCUACUCCGCUGCAAACUCAGAGAGGUCAGGCUUGUGUCUUCGAUCUGCUUCACUGCCAGUACAGGAAGACGAGAUCUGCUGCUUUUAGUCUGCUCCGCUGCAAACUCAGGAAGGUUAGGCUUGUGUCUUCAAUCUGCUUCGCUGCCAGUACAGGAAGAUGAGAUCUACUGCUUUUAGUUUGUUCUGCUGCAAACUCAGGGAGGUCAGGCUUGUGUUUUCGAUCUGCUUCGCUGUCGGUACAGAAAGACGAGAUCUGCUGCUUUUAGUCCAUUCCUCUGUAAUUUCUGAGAGAUAGGACUUGAUAUGACGACUUCAAUUCAUCUCACUGCAACUUCAGGGGUAUGGGAAACUUCAUUAAUAUGUUCUUUGGGGAACAUGACCUGUAAAGUCCAUUUUAUAAACCUAUUUAUGCCUAAUGAUUAGGAUGUUAUGAUCAGAACGAAUCAGAUUCUCCUAACUAGGUGUGUGUGAAUUAUAUUUGCAUGAAUGCAGAAUGUUAUGAGAAUGAUCCCUUUUUUAAUGUUAGGGUUGUCAUUGCUCGUUAUUCAUUAAGGCUCCAUUACCAACACGUCAGAAUGCCAUCUUGUUUGGCUGGUAGCACUCAUCUCUUACUUAAACGGAUUGCCCCCACUAUAAUCUUCAAAGUUCAAUCUGUUGUAAUCUUCAAGGCUAAGUCCACGGUAAUUUUUGGACAUAAAAUUUGAGCCAUCUUCCUUCCACUGAGUAAAAGAUCUGGCUCUUUCUCAAUCCUCUCCCACUGUAAUUCAGGGAUACAGGAUCUGAAUCUCUUUGGUCUCUUACACCAUUCUUAGGGUGUCGUACCAAAUAUUUAUGCACAAUUGUAGAACUUUCUCUUCUAAUAAACCUCUUUUUAUCACUCUGUGAUCAUUACUCAUUUGUUCAUUGAAGUUUUGUCACCAGCACGACAUUUUUCGUUUUGUUCAAUCUAUGCUUAGACAACAAAAUCCGAAGGGAUAGUCUUAAUUUAGACUUUUCCUUCUUAGACAUUUCACCCUUUAAACUUGGUGUACUCUAAACAAUAGUCAUGUUUCAGGUUCCUGUAUUGUUUAGAAGCUUUCAGAGUAAUAUGCAAAACUUCUUUUGCUUGAAUAUUAACAGCCCAUUAAUCUUUAUUUCAAUGGAAAAUGCUUGAAAAGAUUAUCACAAUGGGAAAGAUGAAAUUUUAUUGAGAGUAGAGCUCUAAACAAAUAAAUUAAUCAGGAUAGAAAAUUUUGCUAAGAUUCAAAAUGAAUAAGAUGAAAAGGAUUAUUACAAUGGAUAAGAUGGAAUUUUAUUGAGAACAAAGCUCGAAAUAAAUAAAUAAUCAAGAUAGCAAAUUUUUCUAAGAUACGAAAUGAAUAAGAUGAAAACAGGUGCCCCAGAUAUCACAGUAUGAGCUUUUCUGCAUAAGCUUCUUGAGGACCAUUUUGAACUUGAUAUGUGUCUAGAAGUCCUAAAAGACUUUGUUGAUGUCCCAAGAUGUAGCGUCUCACCUUCUUGCUAAUUUAGAGAGGACAAGGCCACCGCAUGUCCCACCUUUGAUCAAAAUUUAAACUGCCCAUUCCUGGGUUUUCAAUUCAAAACCCCUUUGGUCUCAAGGUGCCCUUUGUGGGUUUUCACCUUGGCCUCUCAUUCUUCUUUUCUUUUCUUUUUCCUUUCUUUUUUCUUUUCUUUUUUUUAACAUUCUUUGAUUGAAUUCGCCCUCGUAGGAUCAGGUAAGUCAUUGCUAUCCUUUCUAGUCGAAAUCAACACUUCUCCAGAUAAAGCCUUCAACAUAAGGUUCUUUUCAGUUUGAUAUCCUCUUUCUUCUAAAGUUCUUUUUGUAUGGAGAGGAUUUUCUUCGAUAUUAGGUCUCCUUCAUAGAAUUCUCUAGGGCGAACCUUCUUUGGUGAGCUCACGUCUUUUUUUUGUGGAUUUGACCAAGAUAGAUAACUUUGAACACUUCUCUUCAAUCGAGAUCUGAUCCAACACUCGAAGAGAAGGAAUCUUGACCUCAAUGAGCAAAACUACGAUGAGCCAAUGUGUUGCCCCGGCAGUAGUUUUUCCUCUCAUUUUUGUUUUGUUUUGUUUUUUAUUUUUGUUUUUUUUACUCCCACUGCGCCGUGCAUUUUGGGGCAAAAUGUGUUAAUCUUGAACAGACUGUAAACUUAUGACAUUGUGCUGUUGUUCAAUUUUAGUGCAUUGUUAGAUGUGCUUCUUUUUGGCAUUUCAAAUUGACACGUGAUUUUUCAAAAAUUCGCAGACUGUUGACCUUGCGACAUUGGCAUAUGAAGCAGCUUUUGCCUACUUAGUGAGGUAAUUGAUGACCAAAAAGAUAACCGUCAAAAACCUUAGGUAAGAUCAGCCUUAUGACAUUUGUGUCCCACGUAGAGAAAGGGCAUGGCUUCUAUUGAUUCUGUGUAAAAUAGAAUCUUGUUAUCUCGUUUUUAACAAAUCAGGAGAUAAGUUACAAUCUCAGUUAUCUCCAAAGGCUUGAGGUUUAAUCUGGACACAUAUCUUGCUCAAAAGGAGGUUCUGAAUCAAUAGUAGUGUUGCUCAUAUCAUUGAUAUUUAGAGACCUGUUAUAGGACGAAAGUAGAUCCAAAGAAUAAAAGAAUCUAAAAAUAUUUAUCUGUAUCGUAUGAUUAUGAAAUGGAAAAAAUAAAAGAAUAUUUGCCCGAAGUGAGAAACAAAGAUGCAUUUUAUUGAAAUAAAGAUGUUGGACAUAAGCCUAUCUCACAAAAGGAUUCUUAUUACCCCUAGGCUUAGAGAAAUAAGUGUGUUUUGGACAUUACUCCGAAUUAGGUCUAAAAUAUACAGGGAUCUCUUUCACAGUCCCACUAUUCAAAACACUUCCAAGUCUGUUCUUUUCACCAACCCCCUUCUUGGAUAUGAUGUUAAUGCUUUGAUAGCCGGCGAUUAUGACCCUCGGUUGGCCCACAGUGACCAAUUUGGGAUAUCUUUCAUUAUAUAUACUCAAGUUGCUUACUUCAUUUUCUUUGUUCUUUAGGGUUGAUCCUCUGACGCUUUCUCCCGUAUCUAUCUUCCCACUUCUUAUGGCAUUUUCACUCAUCUUGCCAGACAUUACCAUAUCUGAUAAGCUCAUGGUAGCGCUUCCCAACAUGUGGUUAAUGAAUGGGGCUUUCAAAGUGUUGACGAAAAGCAUCGUGGUUUCUUUUUCUAGAAAAGGUGGUUGGACUUAUGUCGCUACCUCUCUCCAUCUUUGGGCAUAUUGCCUGAAGCUCUCACUUUGCUUCUUUUCCAAGUUCUGUAGUGUAAUUCUGUCAGGUGCCAUGUCUGUCACGUAACCAUACUGCUUCAUGAAAGCUCGUGCCAAGUCUUUCCAUGAGUGGAUAUUGGCACGGCUCAACUGGUUGUACCAUUUUACAGCUGACCCGAUCAGACUAUCUUGGAAGUAAUGAAUUAACAGUUGAUCGUUAUCAAUGUAUCCUAUCAUUUUUCGACAGAACAUCGUGAUGUGAGCUUCGAGACAACUGGUCCCAUUAUACUUUUCAAAUUCUAAAGUCUUGAAUUUCGGUGGGAGUACUAAAUCUGGGACCAAACUUAAAUCCUUGGCAUCAACCCCGCAAUGGUAAUCAACAUUCUCCAUUGCUUUUAGUUUUUCUUCCAACCACCUAUACCGAUCUUCGAGUUGCUUUGGUAGUUCUACCCUUACUUCUGCCAUUUCGUCUAACUCAGGAAUAACAAGAUUGGUUGGAUCAUUCUUUGGAUUAGAACCUGAGCCUGUCGGAUAGUUCAUUAGCGCCGAGGUACCGGCCUGAUAUCGUUGGGGUCUGUUAGUAGUGGGUGCCCCUUGUAGAUGCGCGUCGGGUUGGGCCUGGACGCCUAUUGGGGUGAAACCUGGGAGAUAGGCAGGGUCUUCAUAUUUAUCCCCAGAAUUGGCUACAGGGUUUUUCUUUUUAUCUCUAGCUGAGAGCUGUGCUAAUUGGCUCAUCAAGCUCCUUUGGGAUUUUUGCAUGUCUUGUUGGAUAUUUUCUAGUUGUUCUUGCAUCUGGGCUUGCACCUGUUCUUACAAUUGCUCUAAUCUCUCUAGUCUCUGAUCUAUUCCUUUAGUUUUUGCUCAGAUACUGUAAGGGUGUUGGUUUUCCAGAUUAGCUGAAAUAAUUUUACUCAAUUAGGGUCUUUUAAUGGUCCUUAAUGCACAUGAUGCCAUGUAAUGCGAAUGCAUGAAUGCAAAAAAGACGUUGACUCUGAUUUAAUUCUAUUUAAAAAACUUUACUAAAAAACAAAUUCCUUUACAUAAAGCGAAUGCAUGUAUGGCCUCGCCCUCAUAUUCCAAGAAACAACAUUGGUCUUCUUCUUUAUCUGAAUGUUUAAGAUAAAUAUUGCAAAUUUCCAAUGGAUGCCACUACUAACUCCUUCUUGCUUGAUUCUGGUUGUGAUCCAUCGUCUGCCCAUCCUCGUAAUGCUCAUCAGCUUCUUUAAGGAAGUCAGAAUGUCGGUGACUCUCAAAUAAUUAGCUUGAAUUUUUGGGCCACGAAGUAAAAUGAUGUACUCUUCCAUCACCUUUCUUUUGUCGUGUUUCUUGGAAUGUAUUCGGGCAGCCAUAUUAUCUUCCGCUUUAUCAAGAAAUCCGUUUUCCAUGACAAACUUUCUAAUUUAGUAAUCAAACUUGAAUCAACACCUUUUUCUAAGAUGAAAAUGCAAUGCAAUCAUAACCAAAACAAAACGAAACAGGUUAGUACAAAGCAAAAGCAAACAAGAAAGAUAGAGUACCUAUUCGGGUAUCCACUAAAGGUUUGGAGUGGCUCUACCUAGGUAGAUUCUUAUGGCUCACUACAUGUGGUUCGAUUCUAAAGUAAAGGUACCUGAACCAACAGAUUCCUCAAUCCUCACCUAUUAUAGGCUCAUACGGACUGAGUUCAGUUCAGGGGAAUACAUUUCCCUAUGGCCAUGUGGAGAUGAAAAUCUCACGAAGACAUAGGUACAGAUGUAUCCCGGAAGCGAUUCACUAUCCCAUGCGAAGGUGAAAACCUCACGAAGGCGUAGUUUCUCACUCCCACUUAAAAGGGUGUGACCAACGGUCAUGCAAUGCAAUGUGCAGAAAUAUAUAUCUAAACUCAAAAUAACACAGUAUUUAUAAAACCACAAUGAUGAAGAUCGUAAUAAAGAUGAAUGAAAUACAAUGAAAGGAUAGUAAAUUUAAAUCAAAUUCAAUUUUUGACAAAAAGACAGAAAGUAAUCAACACGUGGCUUGACUCUCUUAUUUUGGAUCCCCAGUGGAGUCGCCAAGCUGUUGACACCAUUUUUUUGAUAAAACGGGGUCGACUUGGGUUUUAGAAACAAAAACGGGAGUCGCCACCAAUCCUUUUUGAUGAGGUGUGAUCGGGUCACCUCGUAAAGUGGUUGUUUUUAAUAAAUAAUUUGAUUUUUAUGAAAACAAUGAUUUUGGUCCACGAAAUUCAGAAAAAUGGGUUCGGGAGUCGAUUACGUCGAGGAAGGAUUAGCACCCUCGUAACGCCCAAAAUUGGUACCUAGUUGAUUAAUUAAUGUCUUAGUGUCGAAGAUUGAAAAUUUUAAAGAAAUUUAAAAUACGAUCUUUUAUUGAAAUGUUGAAAAUUUUCGGGAAAGGCAUAUUUCACGUUGAUCGAGAAAGAGAAUUAUAUCCAAUAAGUUAGGACACAAUGUCUUGAAUUUCUGAUACGUGAAUGAAUACCAAAAAUUUGCUUAUUUAAAAGAUAUUUAGCUAUCUCGGUUUUAAAAAAGAGAUCAUGCCCAGUAAGUUAAGACACGAUCUUUUCUUAAUUCCCGAGAUCAUUUAAAAAUUUGUUUGAAAUGAUUCGCGUAUUUAGAUUUAUCGAGAAAAUUGAAACCCCGUAAGUUAGGGUACGAUUUUUCGAAUAUCAAAAUACAAAAAAAAAAUUUUGAUAUAUCGAGUAAAGUAAAACACGAUGUCGUAAAAAAUGCGAAAACAAAUUAUAUAGGAUACGCAUACGAAACAAUAAUAAAUACGAAAGUGUAACAUAAUACGAAUGAUAGUGACAAAAACAGGAUAAAAAAGGACGAAUCAAUAGCAUGCCAAAUAACGAGUGUAUAAGCAAAAUAAAAGUGAAACAUUUUUAAAAUAAUAAUGAAAGCGUGAAUAAAUAGAUAAUAAUUGAAUUAUAAUUAUAAAAAAAGCAAUAGGAUAUAUGUAUAUGUAUAUAAAGUAUAAGAUAUAAUAAGGAAUAUGCAAGCAUGUAUAUAUAUAUAUAUAUAUAUGAAAAUUAAAAAUAUGUAUAUAAAGAUAUAUAGAUAAAUAAGAUAUAAAGUAUAUAGAUGUGAAAAUGAAAAAAUACGUACAUAAAGAUAUAUAUAUAUAUAUGAUAAGAUAUAAAGUAUAUAUAUAUAAAAAAAAUUAUAGACGUAUAUAUAUAUAUUAUAAAAAUGUAUGAUGGAUAUGGAUAUAUAUGUAUGUAUAACAAAACGUAUGUGUGUGUAUAUAUAUAUAGAUAACAAAAAUUUGAAAUUAAAAGGACAUAGUUGAGUAAAUAGUAAUAAUAAUAUUUAUAAUAAUAUAAUAUAAUAGUAAUAAUAAUAUGUAAAAUGAUCAAUUUAACAAUAAAUAACUAAAAUACCAAAUAAAGGGCUAGAUUAAAAACUAGGCUAGAAUAUGGGGUCAAAUCGCUAAUAAAAUAAAAGAGGGGACCUUCAUGAACGCGCACAUAACAUGGAGGGACUAAAAUGGAAAUUUUUCCUUCUCCUCCAAAACGCAUCGUUCCGGGAGGGACCGAAUUAAAAACGCAAAGAAAAAUGGGGUAAAAUUGCAAAAGUAAAGAAUAUUCAAUUGAAAACACAGAGAAAAGCAGAAGGACUAGGGUAGCAAUUAUACCCUAGUCACAAAACACACGGAUCCUCCAAGUAAUGGGUCGGGUCACACCCGGGUCGCGCGAAACGGCGCCGUUUUGGCGCUGAGGCCCCCAUGUGAAACAACGACGUUUUUCAUUUGGUAUAAAUGUUUAAAAAAACCCUAAAAAAUUAGAUUCAUCCCCCUUUUUUUAAAAAAAUUUCAAAGAGCCAAAGCUCUCUCUUAAACCCCAAAUCAGUCCAUGGUUGCCGGCCGUCCGUCCAUCGGACUGGCGCCGUGGCCGGUGGCCGAUGACGGACCAAAUGUGCUUUUGAGCCCCAUUUUCGACGAUUUGAAGGCCAAUCCUUCUCAACCAAGAAGAAAGCCGAAAGAAAAGACCCUCACCCACCUUUUAAGGCUGAUUUCGACGACGGAGAGAGAAUCUCCGACGACGUGGCCGCGGGACAUCUCAGGUGAGCCUUUCUUUUUCCUUUUUAUCUUUGUAGGUAGAAAUAAAAAUAAAUAAACAAAAAAAACUAAAGAACAAAAUAAAUAGAAAUAACAACCGAAAAUCACCUUUGAAGUUUUGUUUUUUUUUUUUUCUAAUAUGUCUAUAGUAAAAAAAAUACAUUGACUUGGUGAUGGCUUUUUCUAGCCGAAAUUGAUACAACAUUUUUUCUUUGUUUGCUGCUUGCGUUUUUGUUCUUUUCUUGCAGGUGAUUGACGGGCGCAAGUGGCAGAGACGGUGAAGUGACCGUGGCGGUGGCGGCAGGUCAAGGGUCAGAAGACCCUAGGUGCGGCGCACCUAGGGUUAGGGUUUCCAGACCCUUUUUCUUGCUUUGGGCCAUUUGGGCCGUGGGAAAUUGUGUUGGGUUGUAUUUGGGUCCGUUUGGGUUAGGGGUAGAUUUGGGCUUAUUUUAGGUUUGAGUUAUUUUGUGUUUUAUUUGUUUGUAAUGGGCCCGGGUGAAAUUGGGCUUCUACAAUCAAGUUCACAUUUUAAAACUAGAAGAAAGAAAUCCUCAAAGCACAUUAGAGGGGCUGCAAGAUUGUCCAGUCAAAUAGACAAAUUAUGCAAUGCAGCUGACAAUAUGAGUCAAGCCACAUCUAGUUUGACUCCUAUUAUGGAUCCAUAUGGUAUUCCACAAGCAGAUAAAAUGCUUGACAACAUGUCGAAAGAAGUUCCAAAAGCUAGUCCGCUAUACUUUUUCGCACUUAAAUUAUUGCUCAAGAAGGACAAGUGAAUUAUGUUUUUAUCAAUUAAUCCCAAGAUUAGAGCUUUGUGGCUUAAGACGGAAAUGGAGGAUAGUUGAAAAUUUUCUGAUCUUCUAGGGUUCAGAGAUAUCUAUUAUGUGACUAAACAACAAUGCUAAACUAGUUUUAUCAAUAGUUAUUUAUGUUUGGUUUUUGGAUAUUGAAUUUAUGUUCUACUUAUUUAUAUGUAAUCUAGUUUUAUCAAUGGUCGUUUAUGUUUGGUUUUUGGAUAUUGAAUUUAUGUUCUACUUAUUUAUGUAUAAUCUAGUUUUAUUAAUAGUUGUUUAUGUUUGGUCUUUGGAUAUUGAAUUUAUGUUCUACUUAUUUAUACUAAAUUAGUUUUAUCAAUAGUUGUUUAUAUAUGAUUUUGGAUAUAAAAUUUAUUCAUAGGUGAUAAGUAUAGUUAAGGAUUACAGCGGUGAUGAAAGUGAUGAUGAAAGGGAAAAGAAAGAGAUUUUACAACGCAUGGAAUGUUUUAACCAAUUAUUUGUUGUUGCAUCUUAUUCCUUGCAAUUAUAUUACGAGAAGUAUAUAUUGAGGCAACCAUGCAUGGAUUCUAAACAGUCAGGUGAGACAUGGAUCCGAGAGAUUCUUGACUGUCACAAAUCACGUUGUAUGAUUAAUUCACUACACCAAAACAGGAUUUUAGCGGCACUUUUAGUGGCGCUUGAACAAAAAAUGCUGGUAAAAAUCAAGCAUUAGCAGCGCUUUAUGGAAAUCGCCACUAAAAACCAAAGCCCAACGGUGUCGUUUUCUUACCUUUCGGGGCUUUAGCGGGUUUUUUGAAAAUGCGUCGCUAAUGCUCGGUGUUUUAGCGGCGUUUUUUAAAAGCGCCGCUAAUGCUAGGGCCUUUAGCGGCGUUUUUGAAAAAGCGCGGCUAAAAACAUUUUAUCUUAUUUGGUUUAUUUAUAUAAUUAAAUAAGAUUAAAUUUAAAUCUAAUUGAAUAUUUAAAAUCUUCAAAAAAAAUAAUGACACGUAGAAAUAAUUUGAAAUAAAAUAUCUGGAAAAAUUAAAAUACUAUUAUUUAAAAUAAUUUUAAAUUUUUUGGGUACAUGAUUACUGAUUUUUUUUAAUUUAUAUAUUAAAAAAUUUCUUAUAUAAUCGUAAAAGAGAUGGUAUUAAUUUUAAAAUAUUGAAUUAAUUAUCACUAUAGUUUAGGGUUUUUGGUUCAGGGUAUAUGAUUUAUUUAAAAUUUAAGGCCAGUUUAAAAGUUACUAUUUUAAGGUUUAGGGAGUAUGGAUUUAGGAAUUAUGGAUUAGGGAUUAUGGUUUAGGGGUUGGGGUUUAAGGUGUAGGGGUUAGGAAUUUAGAGGUUUAGGAGUUAGACGUUAGGGGUUGAGAGUUAAGGAUUCAAGGUUUAGGGAUUUAGGGGCCAAGUUAGGGGUUUGUGUUUAGAUUAAUUUUUUUAAUUUAUAUUUUAAAUAUGUUCUUAUAUAAUUGUAAAAGAGAUAAUAAAUUUGUUUAGGGUUUUUAGUUUAGGGUAUAUGAUUAAUUUAAGAUUUAAGGCCGGUUUAGGAGUUCAUAUUUUAAGGUUUAGGGAGUAUGAAUUUAGAGAUUAUGAAUUAGGGAUUAUGGUUUAAGGGUUUGGAUUUAAGGUUUAGGGGUUAGGGGUUUAAGGGUUAGACGUUAGGGGUUAAGAGUUAGGGAUUUAAGGUUUAGGGAUUCAAGGGUCGAGUUAAUGUUUUGGGUUUAGAUUAAUUUUUUUAAUUUAUAUUUUAAAUAUGUUAUUAUAUAAUUUUAAAAGAGAUAAUAAUAAAUUAAAUAUAUUGAAAUUAUGAGUGUAGUUUAAAUUAUUUAAGAGAUAUAUAAUAGAUAGAUUUUAUAUGUAUUGAAUGGUUAAUUUAGGGUUUAAGGUUAAUGUUUACUUGAGAUUUGUUAAAUGAUAAAAUUUUAUAUAAUUAAUUAAUACUUUUAUAUUUAAAAAAAUUUAAUUUAAACCAUUUGAUAUAUUUAAAUAUUAGUUUAAAUAGAAUUAAUAAAUAAAUUAAAAAAAUAAUAGAUUGAUAUGGAUAUUUAGGUACAAUUAUUUAUUUUGGAGAGGAUCAAAUUAUAAAAAAUAAAAUUAAAAUACAAAAAUAAAAUAAUUUUGUUCAAAAUGAAAAUUUUUUACACACUUUUUAUAAAAACACCGCAAAAAAUAAAUAAUAGCCCCAAAAUUUAACUUUAAAAAUGCUACAAAAAUUAUUUCACUUUAAAAAAUCGCGCCAUUUUACCCCAAAUUUCCCCCUGAAAUCCCUAAUCUUCCCAUGUCCGACAAUAUUUUCUCAGCUGCCACACUCCAACAAAUACUCUGCACUCCCAUGGCUGAAAUAACAACCCAAAACCUUUUUAUUACAGCGCCAACAAAGCUUUGCUCUUUAUCCAUCUAUCAAAGAACACACUACUCUGCAUCAUACACUGACGAAAAGAAAAAAUAUGGGUUUUGAGAAGGGAGCUUCAUUGUUGGAAGAUUUGGUAGAAAAAGCUGGAGGCUGUGCUGUGAUGGAUGGGGGUUUUGCUACUCAGCUUGAGAGUCAUGGUGCUUCCAUUAAUGACCCACUUUGGAGCGCUCUUUGCUUGAUCAAAGACCCUCACCUUAUCAAGCAGGUACCUUUCGGUCUUCUUUCUCAUUCAGCUUUGUUGGAAAAUAUGUACAUUGCUGUCCUGCAAAUGACUCCAUGUCAAAAACAGGGUAUAAAGUUUGAGACUUGGUUUUAGAUUUUGAAUCAACGUGGAGUGUUCAUAUGUGCAGGUUCAUUUGGAGCAUUUGGAGGCUGGUGCAGAUAUCUUAGUUACUUCAUCUUACUAGGUUUGUUUAUUAGUGUUUUUCAGAUUCAGCCGAAUGACUUGAUUUGUUAGGCUAAUGUGUGAUCUUCUGCCUUUCAUAUAUUCACAAUAUGGAUAUGGUGAAAAGGAUAGGAGCUAAAUGCUUCCUUUUUCUAUGCAAUAGGUCCACCACUUUCUUGUGAAAAGUCAUGGAAAAUAUUCUGAUUUUUCCCUAAGUUUGGCUUAUUAAUGAACCAGACGGAAAAUAAUGUAGUUAUCAUCUAUAUAUGUUCAUCUGCAAUGAUUGAUUCCUUGGAAACAAUCAACAUAUCUUUGUAGAAACUUGCCUACCUUCAUAUUAGGAAGAGUAAUUUAUUUGAGAUUGUAUGGUAAAUGAUAAACCCAAUUUUAAUUACAAUUAUUCACACAUUCCAGAUUUUUUAAUUGAUUUGAAUCGAGCAAUUAGACAUAAAAGAGUAAUAUGGAUUUAAAAAAGAAGAAGCAAAUAUUGCAAUGAUAGUGUUUUCAUAUUUAAUAUUAUUUAUAAUUUUUUAAAAUAAGUUAAUCCUAGAAUAAAACUAUAAACCUCAUGUAUAAUGGUACCUGAACCUAAAUCAUCAAAGACCCAAUCUUAAGCAGCAGCUCAAAACUCGACAGAGGCUAAGGAUGAUGCUGCCUCUGGAGAGGUUGCACAAGCUGAAUAAGGAUGGUGGAGUUAAUAAUGCCACAGGAGCAGCAGUUGGUAGAGGCUUUAUACGGGAUUCAUCGGGCUGCUGGGUUAUGGGGUACAGUUGGAGUAUUGGUUGCUGCUUGAUGUUGCUAGCUGAGCAUUGAGAGCUAUAUGACGGCUUGUCUGUGCCUUGAGAUGCGGGUAUUCGGUGCUGGUGGUGGAAUCUGAUAGUCGGGCUGCGGUGGACCUUGUCACGGAUGUUACCAGGAAGGAGAUGUUGGAGCUCGUAAUGGCUGUUCGUGGCCUUUUGUCUUAGUCGUGGUGGGUAUUGGUGCGUCAUGUUCUGCGAGGUGCAAAUGCGGCAGCGGAUUUUGUCACCAAGCUCGCUAGGGAUUGCCCAUUGGGUUUGCAGCUGGUUCGGCACCCUCCUCCAUUUGUCAAACUCAUGGUUGAAUGGGAAGAGUAGGCCACCUAUUGUCAAUGACUGUUAACUUUGGUUGGCUUUUAGCCUAGGUUCAUUUUUGUUUUCAAAAAAAAAAAAAUUCAAUCUCAAUUUUAUCAUUCAAUCAAAAUCUUUAUAUAUAUAUAUGUAUAUAUUUUAUAGAUAUUUUUUUUACAUAAACUUUUUUUUAUCUACGUUUGUGGAUAUACAACAAUAAAAACCUGAUACUUUUUGAGCAUGCUUGUUAAGAUUCCAAUUGUGUAAGGAACCGAGAAGGGCCAGUGCAAAGUACAGGUGAAAGGAUUUCGGUCUGGUCCCAACUAGUUCGGGGUGGGUUAAACUCAAUACUGAUGGUACUGUUUCUGUAGGUGGUCUUAAGUCCGGGGUUGCUGGUUUGAUUAGGAAUGCGUUGGGAAAUGGGAAGUUGGCUAUAACAGAUUCAUUGGUGUGAGCAACGUUCUUGAAGUAGAACUGCAUGUUGUUUUGAAUGGCUUGAAGAUUGCCUGGGACAAAGGCUUUUAGCAAAUACUGUUGGAAUGUGAUAACCUUCAUAUUAUUAGCUCCUCUUAUUGGUCGAGGCAAUGAUGCAUUUAGCAAAGUUGAGGAAUUAAGUAGAACGAACUGGGUAGUGCAUGUUUCGUAUAUUGGAAGGAUGGUAAUGUGGCUAAAAUAGCUCUAACAGAUAGACCUGGGUUGCAAGUACCUUUAGACCCUUUUUCUGUUGUUCUUGACGUGUGGAGUGAUGAUGUUUCAGGCCUCUCUAGCUAUACAAAUGCUCAACACUUUUCCUUUGUAUUUUGUUGGCUUCACUACACCAAAACAGGCUUUUAGAAGCAGGUCCAGGUUUGCUAGCCUUUGAGACCAUUCCCAAUAAACUUGAAGCUCAGGUUUGUUCUUCCUCAUGUAUACUUUACAUGUAGGAAGUUACAUUCUUCAUUAGCUUUUCAAGUUUCUAGUGAUCACUGAUCCAUUCGUAAUCAAAGCCGAGCAGGGACGAGUGGCGCAUGUAUAAUGCACACUGGCUGCAAAGGUUAAUUAGCAAUCGUUGUGGUUCUUCUGCCUUUUGCGCCUCUCCCUUUUUUUUUGUUUUUUGGCUUUCUUGGUUCUCAGUUUCUCAAUUCUAUCCACAGUUGUAUGGGGAAACCAAAGCACUACCGACCUCCUGCAAGUUCUUUCGAACUUUAUUGCUUUCAAAUUGGCGGUUUAGAUUUUCAAAUUUGACUUAUUGUAAGGAUUUUUUGCUCAUAAUUUAUGGUGAAAUUUUACAGGGAAAGAAAAAGGAAGGAAAUGCUGCGAGAUAUGUGACGAGGUCACAAGCUAUUAAAAUCCUUCAAGUUAGCCUUUCGGAUUUUAGGUUCAUCUCUUCUUUCUCACUUUUAUUAAUUAUUAUUAUUUAAGCUUCCUUUAUUUGCCUUCUUUUAUCAUUUUUUUCAUGUUGUUUUUAGCUUCGAAGAUUAAUUAGCUAAUAAUUUGAAACUAUUGAGCUUCGUUAAGCUGAGAUUAGUUCAUCAAGUAGCAGUUAAUUGCUACUUUUGCUAACUGUUUUUUGCUCACUGAAGCAAAGAGAAGAAGUGUGUAUGGAAAAUAUUCUUAUUGCUAGCUUUUUACUUCAGCAUGAGUUUAUGACUAUGUUUUAAUUGAUAUGAUUUUGUUAUUAUUAUUAUUAUAAAAAAUCGAGGAUUUUAGUAAGAAAACAUAUAAAAAAAAAGCCUCAACCAAAUGAAACGCGUAUUGAUGGGGUUUGUUAUUUUUUAUUAAAUAUGGUUGGCUUCCUUUUUGCUUUAAUGGAUUUAAUACUGCAGGAAACUAUGCAUCCACAAAAGAGUAUUUCCGAGAGAGCCAAAGAAGAAAGUGAAAGGAAAUCAUCAUACUUACUGUCACUUGAAGGAUGUCAUGUACAUUCUUCAUGAUCCACUACUUGAGAAGUUUAGAGAAAUAAGGGCAUAUCAAAGGAAGAUAAAGAAAGCUAAGGCUAAAAAGAAGGAUGAGUUAGCAAAGCUUCUUCUAUCUCGUGCACCUUCUUACAGACUUGAUAUGGUCAUCCGCGAUAGGUUUGUGAAACAAUCUUUGUAUGUUUUAUUUCCUCUCGUUGCUAGUUGUAUCAAAUCUGUAAAACUUUUGUAUUAAAACUUUUAUAGUAAGCAGCAACAUAACUAAAUCACCUUAUGCUGAUAAUGAGAAGAUUUAUUGUUCCUAUUCCCUUGGCUCCAAUUUUUUUGGUUCAAAACUUGAUGUCUAAGUGCAUGCUUGAGUAUUUGGUAAUCAAUCCUGUGAAAUAGUUUCUAGUUAAGGUGGCAUAGAAGCAUAUAGUCCAGGCAUAGUCUGCUCUUACAAUUUAUGAUUGUUUUUUGGUUUCUCCUCUCCACAAACUGUCUAAUGUAGUUGGCAGAAUGAGAUGAUGUUAUUUAUGCCUAUACAUGCAUUUCUCUGUGGAUGGGUAACUUAUAUCUUUGAUUUGAGGCAUAGUUUGAUGACAGCAUAACUUAUUGCUGAAGUUAUACAGCCACGUUGUUUGCAUGCUGAUGACCAGUUUUGACAUUUAAGAUUUCAGCAUAACAUAAUUGUUUGUUAUAUAAUUUUUGUUUUAGCCUUAAUGGCUAUAUAUAAUUUUUAUUUUUAACAUCUCUAUUGUUUAUCAAGUUUGUCGGUUUAUCUGUUCAUUUGGUUUUGCAUCCUUUAGAUAUUGAAGGUGUUGUAGAGGAUUCAAUCUCUUCAAGCUGGAAAAGCCAAGGCUUAGCACUUCUUCAAGUGGAGUGUUUUUUAAUUUUUCAUUCCAUGGUCGUUUAUCUUAGUCGGAACUUGAAUUUGGUGUUAUUGAAACAGGGUUUUGUAGUUACCUUGUGUACUAGCUUCUUUAACCAUGAUUGUUAAUCAUUACGAGUUUUGUAAUUUCUUUUAUAUUUGGCCGAGUUAAUAGAGAUCAGAUGAGCUGUGAGGUAGAUUGCUCAUUUAUUUAAACAUAAUAUUUUAAUUCUAAAUUUAAAUUCAUUAAUUUUUAUAUUUAGCUUUAAAGUUAAAAUUUUAAUAGAAAUUUUAAUUUAAUUAAUUUUUUUAUCCUUAAAAGUAUAUAGUUUAAAGUUUAAAUUUCAAAAAUAAAAUAAAAUAUAAUAUUUAUCAUAGGAAUAAAUAUUAUUUAAUUAAAAUAUAUUUUUUAAAAUUCAUAUUUUUAGCGGCGUUUGUGAAAAAGCGCCGCUAAAAUUCAUUCUUUAUAGCGAUGUUUGUGGUAGAAGCGCAGUUAAAGGUCAUGGUCUUUAGCGGCAUUUUUGGUAGAAGCAUCGCUAAAGGUCAUGAUCUUUAGCGGCGUUUGUGGUAGAAGCGUUACUAAACGUCAUAAUCUUUAGCGGCGUUUGUGAUAGAAGUGCCACUAAAGGCCAUGAUCAUUAGCGGCGUUUUUUCACAUAAACGUCGCUAAAGUUAGCGACGUUGUCUACAGCGACACUUUUUGCGGUGCUUAUUAAAGCGCCGCUAAAAGUUUAUUUUGCUGUAGUGAUUUUAGGAUGUCUAAAAUGGUAUUCCCAAGUUUGUUGAGAGUUUUGGAGACAAUAUACAACUUGCAAACUUCAAGAAACAUAUCUUCUAGUGAAAUGUUGGGAAUUUUUUUAUACAUCUUGGGCACCGGUGCAAAAGGUUCCCAAUGUCGAGAAAGAUUUCAAAGGUUUGGAUCAACAAUAAGUUGACACUUUGCAAUUGUGCUUGAGGAAGUUUCAAGGAUGGCCACUGAUCUAAUUGCCCCCGAAGAUCUUUUUUUUAGCUCAAUACCCGAAUAAAUACGUAAUGAUUCUAGAUAUAUGCUCCAUUUUAAGGUCAAAAUAUUAUUUUAUAUUAUUAUAUUUUAAUAUAUUUGGUCGACUAAAAAUAUGCACGAGAGUAAUAUGAUUAUUUGUUCAGGACUGCAUAGGUGCAAUUGAUGGUACUCACAUUGCCACUAUUCUUCCAGCAAAUGAACAAAUUCCCUAUAUUGGAAGAAAAUGUAUCCCGACUCAAAAUUUUAUGGCAGUAUGUGAUUUUAAUAUGUGUUUCAUCUUUGUCAUGGUUGGAUGGAAAGAAUCGACACAUGACACUAGAAUAUUUCUUGAUGCAAUUUGAGAUCCAAAAUACAAAUUUUCGCACCCACCAAAUGGUUAGAUAUUUUAUUUAUAUGUGCUUUUUUAAAUAAUAAAGUAUAAGUUCUUUAAUUGAUAAUUUUUAUAAAAAAAAUUCUUGAAUUAAUUGUUUGUUAUAUUAUGACUUGUAGGAAAAUAUUAUCUUGUUGAUUCUGGAUAUCCUCAAAUGAAAAGUUAUCUUGGACCAUAUAGAGGUCAGCGAUAUCAUUUACCUGACUUUCGUAGAGGUAGACCAGUAUCUGGUAAAGAAGAGAUAUUCAAUCAUUCACAUUCAUCAUUACGUAGUGUGAUUGAACGAACUUUUGGUGUUUUGAAAAAAAUGGGUUAUUUUAAGGGAUAUGCCAAGUUAUAGUUUUGAAAAGCAAACGAUGAUCGUUGUUGCUACAAUGACGAUACACAAUUUUAUCCGAAAACAUGUCGGUCGAACUGAUGCAGAUUUUAUGAAAUACGAAGAUAUUAACUGGGCAUAUGAGAAUAUUAUUGAUUCAGAAAAUGCACAUGGUCGAGAAAGUGAUGAUGAUGACGACAACAAUGAUGAUGGUGAUGACAGUGAAUCAAACAAUUCAAGUGGUUUUGAAAUGGAAUUAACAAGAGAUGCUAUAACUUCUAGUUUAAUGAAUUCACUUUAAAUUGUAAAUGCUAUUGUAAAAUUUUUAGUAUUUAUAUUUGGUAUAUAAAUAUUAUCCCUUUUUAAAACUUUAAUCCAAAUAUAUGUGAUAUUUUAAUUUUUUAGGUUUAUGUUUUCUAUGUUAUGUUAAUAUCUAAUAUGAGUUAUAUAUUCAAAUACAUUUUAAAAUAAAAUAAUACAAAUGUGUCAAUAUCUAAUUACAAAUAUUUAAUUAUUAUAUUUAAAUAUUUAAAUAUAGUUUGUAUAUUCUAAUUAUAUUUAAUAAAUAAUUAAUAUUAAUUACUUAGAAAUAUUUAAAAUUAAUAUUAUAUACUAAAAUAUUAACAAUAAAUUAUAAUAAAUUAUUUUUUAUAUCUUUGCUAAAAUAUCAUAAUAUUAACUAAUUUGAACAUUAUUUAAAUACAUAUUUGUUACUUUAUAAUAUCAUUUCUAAAAUGGACAUUUUAUUCUUCAAAAGCACUUUUUGACAGCAAUAUCAAACACUCAAAAUUUUCAAAAGUACUUCUCAAAAGUACUUUUCCACAGCACUUUUCCAAAGCAAUGAAGAACUGGCCCAAAAGCACACUAGCUUUCGCCGUCUCAUCCGCAAAAAAACCUAAAAUGAUACACCAGAAACUCCCUCAAGACAGACAGAGCCAAGUCACUUUCUCGCUAAUCCCCAUCGAACCCUCCAAUUAAGCAAAGCCAUUUCAUAUUUCAACCCAGUGGGCACCACAAUUGCCUUACAAAAUUUACAAACUAAAAUGCUAAAAGUAAUCCAGAAAAAUACACAGCCCAAGCUCCAAAAUGCAAGAAAGUCCAUUUAAAAUAUGAGCCAAAUUUAGAUUUCAGUUUAAAAACUUGAAUCUAAUUCGUUUUUAAUUUUGUAAUAUAGUAUAUUCACUACAAGAAAAAUAUGAAUUGUCAACAUUAAAAUUUAUUGCUAAAUGUUGUAUUACCAUUACUAAGAGUUUAUUGCAACAACAAAAAAAUCGUUGCGAGGUCGUUGUGUAUACCUCUAUUGUACAAAAUAUGCACAACGAUUUUACAAAUUGAAAAGUCGUUUUAAUUAUAUAUAUUGCAACAACUUUUUUCAUUUUAAAAUAUAUAUUUUUUGUAACGACUUAAUUUAUUUGUAUAAAAAUGUUUUAGUUAUAGUAAAAUCUGUUAUAAUAUUUUUAACACAACCAUAAUACUUUAGUUACAAAAACUAUUACCUAACAAUAAUAUAUUGGUUGUAAUAUAAAAUUUGCAACAACUGUAAAUUAAAAUGCUAAGUUUUGUACGUAACAAUAAUAAUAUUGAUAUGUAAUUGUAUUACAUUACUCAAUGAUUAUAUGUCAUUGCCAAAAAAAUAUUUUAAUAACCAUAAAAUGUGGUUGCCAAAUCAUUUACUUAAGAACAAUACUACUGAUUACUAAAUAUUAUUCUGCAACUAUUUUAAUUUAUUGUGUACUACAUUGCUGUAACACCCCUAAUGUAACACCUCUUACCCGAGACCGUUUUUGGAGUCGAGCACGAGGCAUUACUUAGCUUAUCUUACUAAUUCGGAGCAUAAAAACUUGGUUUGAAAAUUUAUUUCACUAUUUACAGCAAAUCUGUCCACCCAUGCAGUAGUCACUUAUUUAAUUAUAACUCGAGUUACGAAACUCAAAAUUUAGAUCCGUAAAUUUUCCCUGAAAUUAGACUCAUAUAUCUUUUCACCAUAAAAUUUUUCAGAAUUUUUGGUUUAGCCAAUUAGUACAGUUUAUUAGUUAAAGUCUCCCCUAUUUCAGUGACCGACCAUCCUGACCUCUUGUCACUAAAAUUCAAUUAUCUCUUUGUACAGACUUCAUAUGGUGCUUCCACUUAUUUCUCCUGAAAAUAGACUCAUAAAGGAAUAUAUACAUAUAAAUUAUAACUCAUAAUUCCUUCUGUGAAAUUUUUAAUGAAUUUCUAAAGUCAGAACAGGGGACCUCAAAAUCAUUCUGACCCUGUCUCACUAAAAUUCAAAUAUCUAAAAAUAUACAACUCUUUUUCUUACUCUAUUUCUUUCAUGUGAAAUUAGACUCAUUCAGCUUUAAUUUAGUAUCUCACUCAGAUUCUAAUUCAAUUUCCACCAUUUUUGAUGAUUUUUCAAAGUUACCUCAAUGCAUAUAUCCGAAAACUGUUCCAUUGCAAAUUUUAAAAAAAUUCAAUAUAACCCCUUUGUAAUUAUCUAACCUUCCCUGCAAAUUUAAAUCACAACCAAUUCCAGUAUUUCAACUACUUCAUUUAAAUACUAAUGAAGUUCAACCAAUCAACCAUUUCAAACAAAAAAAAAACAUGUAUAUAUUUCGAUAUCUAACACAACCAUAACAUUCAAAUUUAUUUUGCAUACUUAGUCAUUCAUACUAAUACUUUUUACUUCAAUUCCCUAUACAUGCCAUAUAAAUCCAAAAAGUUGUUUAACAAAAUCUACCGGAGUAAAUCUGGAUAGUGUGAUCGUUGUUGUAGAUCCGAUCCUCCGAAAUAUAUAUAUACGUCAAUCUACAAGAAACAGUAAACACACACCAGUAAGCUUACAGAAAGCUUAGUAAGUUCACAGGCUCAUAAUAAUAUAUUACCAAAAUUUCACUAACAACAUUAACAAACAAAUAAAAAUUCAGCAUUUCCUGCCAACCCCAAUCUCAAAUAAUAAAUAUAUAUAAUCGUGCUCAAUUUCAGAUGUCAACUUCUAUUCCAACAUUUAGUUUCAAUUGCACUUACAAAUACCUGUCAAAUUAAGGAUCGUCUUACGGAAUUGAGUACAUCGUUUGCCCGUGCCACGAUUUGCUUGAACAUUUCACAUUGCUAUAAUUCAGUAUGGUUUUCUUCCUUGAAAUACCAUACCUACUUUUCACAACUUAGUAUGGUUUUCUUCAUUGAAACACCAUACCUACUUUUCACAACUCAGUAUGGUUUUCUUCACCGAAACACCAUACCUACUUUUCACAAUUUUCCAUGGAUCCACCAUGGACUUAUCCGUCAAUUCGUCGUUGGUUGCCAAACAUGUGUACUCAAUCCUGCGUAUCCCUUAAUUUGAACUAACAAUCUCAUCUUCUUCUCAUUUUUACCAUAAUCAUAAUUCAGUAACAAUAUACGAAUUUAUACAAUAUAUCAUUUCCACAUUAACAAUUAAUCAUAAAAAUUCAGCCAUAUGAACUUACCUGGGCCGAUUUGUAGAAGUUUUAAAAGUUCAGAAACUAGUUUGAUACUUUCUCUUUUCCGCGUUUAUCUUCGGAUUCCCGAUCUAUAAUAUAAAUUUUUCCAUUCAUUAGCAUCUAAUUCAAUACUAAUUUACUUCACAAUUUAUGCCUUUCAAUUUUCAAAAUUACACUUUUACCUCCAAAAUUUACAAUUUUUACAAUUUGGUCCCUACUCAAUUAACCCUUCAAUUGAUCAAAAUUUUCCCAAUUAACACUUUAUCCAACCAUUUUAGACUACUGAACAGCCUUUGAUAUUCAUAAUUUCAGUACAAAACCCCAAUUCCUAACUUUUUCACAAUUAGGCCCUAAAAAUCAUUUUCUACUAAAAUCAUUUUAAUAAGAUCAUAAUAUAAUGAAAUUAAGACUUAAAAUCUAUAAUAAUUCAUCAUAAAAUUCCAGAACUUAUUCAUGGUAACUUACAAAAUCACUCAUAAAUUCAAAAACUAACAAAUUCAAUAGUUGGACCUAGUUGUAAAAGUCACAAAACAUGAAAAUUUCAAAGAAAAAAGCAAGAAUUGAACUUACAUGAUGAAAAAUAUGAAAAACCAGCUUGAAAACUCUCUCCUAUUACGUUUUGGCUGAAGAAAAAUGAUGAUAUCUCUAGAUUUUUCACUUUUAUCUUUGUUUUAUAUAUUUAAUUUGUAAAAUUUCCAAUUUUGCCCUUAUUUCUCCUUACUUUCCUGCUGAUUUUUCUUGCCCAACCGUCCAGCCCAUAAAAUUUUGGGCCUAAUUGCCUUUUAAAUCCCUCCUCAUUAGUCACUUAAGCUAUUUAAUCAUAAUUUAACAAAUUUUACACUAGUCUCAAUUUAGUCCUUUUUAGUUAAUUGACUAACCAAACGUUAAAAUUUUCUAACGAAACUUUUAUACUAACUCAAUGACAUUCCAUAAAUAUUUAUAAAAAUAUUUAUGGCUCGGUUUAUGAACUCGAUGUCUCGACACCGCAUUUUAGACCCACUUUACCUAUUAAAUUCUUUUUAAAUCACAAAAUUCACUAAUUCAAAAUUCUUCUAAAUUCACACUUGACCCAUAAUUAUUAAUUUAUUAAAUUUUAAGACUCACUUGUCAGAUUUAGUGAUCUCGAAUCACUGUUUCUGACACCACUGAAAAUUAGGCUGUUACAACUAACCCGAAUCCGUCGUCAGAACAAAGUUAUGGAGCAUCACCGAAAUUUACAAAUUAAUUUUCAGACAUCUAUUUCAUCUAGCAUUCAUAUUUGAAACCAACCAAAAUCAAAAUAUUAAUGAGCCAACGUUGGCUAAAUUAACUUAUACAUGCCAUUAUAACUAGAACCAAAUCAUCCAAAAUUACCGAUAAAACCAAUGGAUAGUGUGAUAUAUCUCCGACAAGUUUCCAACCCAAUCGAGCUUCCGAUUAUCUGUAGGGUAAAUAAAAAAAAUAAAUGCGUAAGCAAUGAAUGCUUAGUAAGCUCGUGUAGUCUUUAAUCAUAUUAGUUCCUUUAAAAUAUGAAAUUUAUGCAUAUCAUGGAUAACCCAAAGUUGAUACCACAAUACCCAUGAAGCUAUAUUCAUCAACUUACAAGGUAAAUAAAUCCACAAUAUCACUUAAACACAUUAUCCCAAGCUUAGUAGGAUUUUAUAUAACUUUAUCUCUUCAUAAUUUCUUUAUUUUCAUUUUCAUUUCUUUACUUUCCACGCUUAUUCUAUAUGCGUGACACACAAGUCAUAAACAUUUCAUUCAACCAUAGUCACAAGCUAAUGCAUUUCCAAAGUCUUUUUCAAAUUGAUUACAUGAUAAGUUAUUUCAUAAGAAAUUGUAUAAUCUAAACCUUACCACUUUUUAGUGAGCGCUAGCAUAUUUUCACUUAAAUACUUUCCAAUUCAAUGCAUUAUAUAAAUAAUCAUAAUAUCAUUCAACCAAUAGCUUGGCACUUGCCUAAGCAUCAAGCAAGAAUACUAGUUAGUGUACUUGCACACAUUACAUAUAAACUCAUCAUGCAUAAUUUUCUUGUAUCAACAUAUUAAAGAUAAUCAUACAUUUACAUGUCAUGAUACAUAUCAUUCUCUUGUCGUUUCUUCAUAGACAUAUAUCAUUCAUUUCAUUAUUUCGAUAUUUCAUGUACCAUCAUUUUCAUGAAUUUCGUACAUACCAGUAAUAGUUCAUUUCAAAUUCAUGUUAUCUCACUUUAAAAUUUUACCCGUUAUAUCAUUUAAAUAUCAAUGGUUAUAUUUAUUUUAGAUCAAUACCAAUAAUAAUCUAUAAAUCUUUCAAUUCAAUCACAUAAGUCUUUUACCAUUUCUUUCUGAAUCGAAGAACGACUUACGGAUAUUAGUACAUCAUUCUUUGGUGCCAUAUUCCAACUAUGGUCUUGCACAUAUAAACACUGCCAUAGUCCAACCAUGGUCUUACAUUUAUAGUGCCAUAACCCAGUUGUGGUUUUAUCCAUCAAUUCAUCCUUUGUCACAGUACGAUUGUACUCAAUCCCGCGUUCAAUCCAAAUUGAGUAUUGAAUUCGAUAUUAUAUUUCCAAUAAUAAUUCAAUUUCAUAUUUUCUAUUACCCUUAUUAUUUCCCCAUAUUUAUCCCGUUGAAUUUCUUGGAAAUUCGAUGGAUUUUCAGAUGUACACUUUUAGUGUACAAUUCCGGGUCCGUCAAUUCAUAUUCAUGUGGGCACAUUUCCAUUUCAGAGAGCACACUCCUGCGAACCUCAUCCUUACAGCGGGAUUGCCAGUCCAGGCUAAAUCCCCUAUAAUAUAAACUCAUAGAGUAUUGUCGGGAUUACCAGUCCAGGCUAAAUCCCCUGCAACGACAAUUAUUGUAAUGAUUUUGGAUCUGAAUUAUCAGUCCAAGCUAAAUUCAGACCCUAAUUCAGAUUACCCGUCCGGGUUAAAUCCAUUUUCCACAUAUUCUUCGGGAUGGCUAUAUCAGGAUAGGAUCACCCGUCCGGGCUAGAUCCUUUUUACCGUCAAUUCCUUUUCAGAGAUCUAUCGAAUUUUCCUUCCAUUCAACCGGGAUUUCUUCCCCUUUUUAUAAAAUAUAUCAAUGUUUCAUCAAUUUUCAUACAAUGAACAUUCAAAUCAUAUUACAUUAAUAACAAACAUUUCAAGAAUUUAAGAAUAUAAUUCAAGUUACACGAACUUACCUCAUUACUUGUUCGUGUUUACAAUUUCACUAAUUUGAUGUCUUUUCUUUUCCACGUUCAAGUUCCAUAUUUGAGUCAUUCGGAUCUUUCUAAACAAAUUUGAUCAUCAUUUUCAUUCAUUUCAUAUUCUGAUAUAUUCAAUUAAUACUCUAGGCAAGAUUACCAUAUUGCCCCUAAGCUUUUAAUUAAUGACGAUUUUAAUCCUUGGGCUCAGAAAAAUAAAUUAUUGUAAUUUUAAUCCUUGUUUUAAGCCUAAUUAUUCCCAUACAUAUUGAUAACAGCCCAUGAAUUCUAUAAAAUAUUAGAAUUUUUCAUAAUUUCAACACUUUUCAAUUUAAUCCCUAAAACAUGUUUUCACCCGAUCUUGUUCUAAAUUUCAUUCAAUUUUGUAAUUUAAAUAAAUAAACAGUCCAUUUCAUGCAAUUUGGUCAUUUUUGACAUUUUUUACAAAUUGCCCAUAAAGUUUUACUUUUAUUCAAUUUAGUCCCUGAGUCUAAAACAUGCAAAUUAUCCAUGCUAACUGAAUAUUCACAUAUAUAUCUUCCUCAUCCUUCUCUUCAUUCCACUUCCUUAAUUUAUAUAAAAUGCUUAUAAGUAACAUUAUCUAUGAUUUCACAAUUUACUUGUAAAUUUAUUCAAAGCUAUCCAUUUGAGUCAUAAUCACUAAAUUAUUUUUAUCUUGAGCUACGGAACUUCAAAUUAGGAUCUGCUAAUUUUUCCUGAAACUAGACUCACAUAUCUUCUUACCAUAAAAUUUUUAGAAUUUUUGGUUCAGCCAAUAAGUACAACUUAUUCUUUAAAUUCACCUCUCUUCUGCUAUCUGACAAUUCCGACCCUUCUUCACUUAAAAUUAAUUAUCUCUUUGUAUAGAAUUUGGAUUAUGUCCCCAUUUUUUUCUCUUGAAAAUAGACUCAUUAAGGAUUUUAAACAUAUAAAUUCUAACCCAUAAUUAUUUUUUUACUUUUUAAUGAUUUUUCCAAGUCAGAACAGGGGAACCCAAAUUCAUUCUGACCUUGUCUCACAAAAUUUAUUAUAUCUCAUAAUUUACGAUUCUAUUGCUUACACCGUUUCUUUUAUGAGAAAAUAGAAUCAAUAAGCUUUAAUUCCAUAUUUUAUUCAUACUCUAAUUCGAUUUUCAUAAUUUAUGGUGAUUUUUCAAAGUGAGCCUACUGUUGCUGUCCAAAACUGUUUUAGUACAAUAUGUUUAUUACCAUGUUUAUAACACCCUUAUUUUCUUUCUUUACACUGUGUCUAAUCACUUUCUCUUAUUUUCUCUUCACUAACAUAUCAAGAACAUAGGACCAUAUAUACAAAAACUUUACAUUAACAUCAUUUCCAUACUUUUUCAAUAAUAUUAAACUUAAAAAUAUAUUAAAAUCUUAAUGUACUUACCUUGUCAUAUUGAUUUCAAUCUUUAACUUGAUUUUCUCUCUCCUCCAGCAUCUAUUUCUUGAAUCUAACUUGAUAUUCUAGCUCCCCAUAGUCUCCUUGUUAUCUUUCUCUUUGAUGGAUAUGGAAAUUCUUUUGAUUUCUAGGUGAAAAUGGUGAAUUUUUGGUGGAAGGACUAAAUUGUAAAGAAAGUAAAACUUUCUUUCUUUCUCUCUUUUCCUCACGUUAGUGCAUGAAAAAAAAUGGGUGGGUUGCAUGAUUCUUCAUCUUCCUUUUCUUAUAUAUAUACUAAAUAAAAUAAUAAUAAAAUAUUAAAAUAUCAUUUAAAAAUCAAAUUAAAAUACUAAUAAACUAAUAUUUAUUUAUUUAAUCAAAAAUAUCUCCAACAUCAUCAUCAUCUUCUAUAUUUCCCUCUCUUCUAAUUGAUCAUUUUGCCCUUUAUGAUCUUUUAAAAUUUUAUCCUUGAGUCAUCACUUAAUUUGGUAAAAUUACUAUUUAGUCCCUCAAAAUUCUUCACCUUUUUCAAUUUGGUUCUAAUCCAUCCAUUUUCCUUAGUUUCUAGAUCAUUCCACCCUUAAAAUAUUUACACCAUUGGUCCUUCAAAUUUUUAUAUUUACACUUUAAGCCCUCAAUUUUUGAGUAUUUACUCUUGGGCAACAAAAUGUUUUUCACUUUUACGAUUUAAUCCUUUCUUGAACUAAUAUGUCAUAAUAUACUUCUCAAUGUUGACAUAACUCAAAAAUUUCCCCUUUUUGUCGCUUUAUUUCCUUACUUUAUUAUAUCAAAGAUAAUAUCUUACUGUAAAAAAAUUUUAGGGUAUUACAAUUGCGCAACAACAAUAUUAUUUUUAAUCAAAUGGCUAUAUAUAAUUUAAUAAAAUUUUAAAAAAUUUCUUAAUAAAAUUUUAAAAAAAAUUUCUUCAUCCUCUAACUUAAUAAAAUUUUUAAAAAAAAUUCAUGUUAGAUUGAAUUGACAUUGAGGUUAUAUAUAGUCACUGGUCAUGUCAAAGAGAAUAGCUCUACCAAAAUAAAAAAUUUAUUUUUAUUAAAAAUUUUAAAAAAAAUUAAUUGCAGCAUAGUAACCGUCAUUCUCUAUGACUCUAUCAAAUAAAAUAAUAAUUUUAAUUUCAAAUUAAAAAUAAAAAUCACUUUAAAAAUUUGACAUAAUAAAAGUGGUGUGACCAAUUUAUUUGGCUCCCGAAAUAUUAUUAUUUAUUUUCUAGUUCCCAAAAUAUUUAAAAAUAUUGGUGUUAGAGUGGUAUUUAUACGGGUGAAGCCAAAUAAAUUAACUUUACCUACAAAAAUUAAUUUUUGUUAUAAAAUAAAGAGAGAUGGAGAGAAUGAAGAACAAAUAAAAUAUGAAAGCAAUAGAGAAUGUACUUUAUUGAUCAAAGGGAUGAUUACAAUGCUUCAUCGGAGUCUCUAUUUAUAGGCAUAAGAAGUAUAAAAGAAGUAGAGGUCUAAUUCUAAUAACUAAUAGAAUUUAAAGUAUAUCAAAGCUUUAUCUUGAUCAUGAUGGACAUCCACUAAAUAAGAUAUUUAUAACACUUCCCCUUGGAUGUCCAUUGGUGGAUAAUGUGCCACGUUAAAACCUUAUUAGGAAAAAUCCUGUGGGAUAAAAACCUAAUGAAGGAAAAAGAGUACACAAUCUUCUAUUACAAGUUGUCUCAUUAAAAAUAUUUACCAGGAAAACCCAAUGGGACAAUACCUUGGUUAAAGGAAAAGAGUACAACUUAUUUUAGACUCCCCCUAAUAGCAACAUUACAUUACAUCUUUAAGUUGACGCAUUCCAAUCUUGUGUAGUAGUCUUUCAAAUGUUGAAGUUGGCAAUGCCUUAGUAAAAAUAUAUGUUAAAUUAUCACUAGAAUGAAUUUGUUGAACAUUUAUAUCACCUCUUUUCUCAAGAUCAUGGGUGAAGAAUAAUUUUGGCGAAAUAUGUUUCGUUCUAUCACCUUUGAUGUAACCACUCUUCAAUUGAGCUAUACAUGUUGCAUUAUCUUCAUAUAAGAUAGUUGGCAUCUUUUCCUAUAAAGGCAAAUUACAUAUCUUCUAGAUAUGUUGGGUCAAUAACCUUAGUCAAAUACACUCUCGACUUGCCUCAUUCAUUGCAAUUAUUUCUACAUGAUUUGAAUAAGCAACAGCUAAUGUUUGCUUUGUCGAACAUCAUGAUAUGGUAGUACCCCCCUCACAUGUAAAUAAAUAUCAUGUUUGAGAUCGACCUUUAUGUGGAUCUGGUAAGUAUCCAGCAUCAGCAUAGCCAACUAAUAAGGAUUUUGAAUCAUCUGAAUAAAAUAAACCCGUACCAAUGGUCCCUCUGAAAUAUCUAAAUACAUGUUUAAUUCCAUUCCAAUGCCUACAUGUUGGAGAAGAACUAAAUCUUACUAACAAGUUUACAGUGAAAGCUAUAUCAGGUCUUAUGUUGUUUGUAAGAUACAUCAAUGCCCUUAUGGCACUUAGAUAUGGUACUUUAGGACCAAGAAACUCUUCAUCAUUCUCGCAAGGAAGAAAUUGAUCUUUAUUCACAUCUAACGAUCGUACAACCAUCGGAGUAGUUAAUGGGUGUGUUUUAUCCAUGUAAAAUUUCUUUAAUAUCUUUUUCAUAUAAGUUGAUUAAUAAACAUGAAUUUUAUCUUUUAAAUGCUUGAUUUGUAAUCCAAGAUAAAACUUUGUUUUUCCAAGAUUUUUCAUCUCAAAUUCUUUCUUUAAACAAUUUAUUGUAUUUUGAAGCUCUUUAGGAGUUUCCAAUAAUAUUUAGAUAAUCAACAUAAACAACAAUUAUUACAAAAUAUGAUCCAAACCUUUUUAUAAAGACACAUGGACAAAUUGGAUCGUUUUUGUAACCUUCCUUUAACAAAUGUUCACUAAUACGAUUGUACCACAUGUCGAAACCAUUUUUUAAGUUUGAAAAAACAGGGAUCGACUUUUAAAAUAAAAACGGGAGUCGCCACCGAUCUUUUAUUAAGGUGUGACCGGUUCACCAUUAAAAUGAUUUUUGGUCUGCGAAUUUUGAGAAAAAUAGGUUCGGGAGUCGGUUACGCACGAGGAAGGGUUAGCACCCUCGUAACGCCCAAAAUUGGUACCGAAUCGAUUGUUUAAUGUCUUAAUGUCGAGAAUUUGAAAAGAUUUUUAAAAUACGAUCAUUUGAAAAGAGAAUUUGAAUAGAAUGAAUUUGAUUGAUGUGACUCACUUAUAAAUUGUCACACUCAGUAAGUUAGAGUGUAACGUUUUAAAUCCUUAAAAUUAAGUUUAUCUUUUAACUUUUGAAACCUAUGCAUUUUAAGAAAGAUAUCCGAUUAUUUGGGUCAAAUGAUAAAAUCAAAACCCAGUAAGUUAGGGCUCGAUUUCACAAAAUUCCUAAAUAUCGAAUAUUGCCUUUAUUUUAAAGUCGAGAUAGCAAAAUGCCAUAUCCAGUAAGUUUGGAUCCAACAUUUUGAAGUCUCAAAAGUUUUAUUUUAAAAUUGUAUGGUUUUACCAAAAUAAACACUUGGCUAUUCAAAUUCAUCGAGAAGAAUGGAAGCCCAGUAAGUUAGGGCACCAUUCUCUCGAGAGUUAUGGACACCAGGCCUUUUUUGAAAAUUAUGAAAUAGAACGAUUGUUGUGCUUAAAAAAAACAAACAAUUUUUAUAAAUGUAGCAUGAUUGAAUGGUAAUAUACAAUGUUCAAGAUAAAUGGCAAUCCAAACACACACUAAAAAAAACAAGUAAAUAAUAGGUAAAUGCAAAUAUCAAUAAUAAUUCUAAUCAUAUCUUACAAACAUCAAUAUUAGCAAUUUAACAUCCAAUAAAUUAAUAAUCAAUUUUCUAAAAGGUACAUCAAGACAAUGAGAGAAAAAAUAAUUAAUAUCCUAUACAUAAAAGUUCUAAAAUAAAUUAAAUAUAUGAAUUCAAAAUAGACUCAAAAUAGAAUUAGAAUAACCAUUGAAUAGUCGAAUUUGAAAUAAAUUUGAAGCAAAUAAAAUACAUAUAUUAGCUUAAUAUAUAUAAAAGAUAAACAUAAUAAUAAUAAUAAUAAUAAUAAUAAUAAUAAUAAUAAUAAUACAUAUACUCGAUUAAAAAACAUACAUAAAAUAUUGAAAGUAAAACGAAAUUUAAUGGGUAGCAAACAUAAAUAAAAAUAAAAGAAAGAUUAAAUUUGAACUUCAAAAAAAAGAGGGACUAAAACAGCAAAUAGACGCAUAAUUCUAAUGAUUUUAAUCUGCUUGAUGAAAACGACGACGUUUGAAUAUGGAUUUAAAUGAAAUCAAAAUCAAAUCCACAGUUCAAAUUUAAAAAGUGAAUAAAAUCCAAUUGAAAUUAUACUGAACACGGAGAGACUCAUUGCGCAAAUAGACCAACGAGCGAAAAUGCGCGGAUCCUCCCCAGGUCGGGUCACACACGCGGGUCAUAUGGCCAAUACGGCGCCGUUUUAAGGCCACUGACGCAGGCCUUAAACGGUGUCGUUUUCCGCACCAUAAAUAUAAACUUAAAAACCCUAAAAAUAGCAGCCAUCCUUUGUCCUGGAAGAAAACCUAGAGCAAAGCUACUCCCCCCUGCACCACUUCAGCAUCGGAGCCCAAAGUCGACUGGUUCCGAACCAACGAGGGAUUCGACGGUAGACUUAUAGGUACGAGCCCUGACUCCCCCCUUCCUUCUCUCCUUUUUUUUAUGCUUAUAUAUAUGUAUUAAUAACAAAACAAAAAGAAAGAAAAGCGAUCGGAAAAAGAAAAGAAUCGAUCAGAGAAAAAAGAACCUUUUUUUUAUUGAUUUCCUUUUUGAUACAGUUUUUCGUGUGUUUUUUGUGUGCGAGAGUAACCCCCUUUUUAUAAUGCCUAUUUUGCUUUUUUUUUUUUAGCCAGAAAACAUGAAAAGAAAAGAAAAAAUGUUUUUCCUUCUUUGUUGUUGCUGCUGUUUUCUGUUUGUCUUCUCUUGCAGGUACGGGUGUGCGUGGCGUGGCUUGACAUGUACGGAGGCAAAGGUUGGCGAGGAGCGGCUCGGUUGGGUCUGUUGUGCGAGGGAGUUGCGGCGCCUGGUCUGUUCCAGAAACCCUAGGGUUUUUGGAAGCUGUUUAGGGCUAUUAGUGUUUGGGCUUAUUGGGCCUGGUGUAAUUGGGGUUAAACUUUAGUGGGCCUUAGUGGGUUAAUAACUUGUAUUGGACUGUUUUUAUUGGACUUUUGAUUUAUUUGGCUUUUUAUUUUUUUAUUUACUUGUUUUUUUAUAUGCAUGUGGGCGGGCACAAAUUGGGUUUUACACCACAUACAUUCAGAUUAUUUUUAUCCAUAUAAACUUUUCUUUAAUUUGAUUGAGUAAUUUUCUCAAGAAACUCUAUAUCAUUUUGGGAUUUUAAAUCUUUCAAGGAUUUUCAUAUAAAUUUCACUAUCAAGUGCACCAUAUAAAUAAGAUGUAACAACAUCCAUUAAAUGCAUGUCAAGUUUUUCUCGUACUGCCAAACUAAUAAGAUGUCUCUUCAUAAUCAAUGUUGGGCCUUUGCGAAAAUCCUUUUGCUACAAGACGAGCUUUAUAUCUUAUGACUUCAUCAAUUUCAUUUCAUUUUCGCACAAAUACUCAUUUAUAUCCUACCGACUUUACACCUUUAGGUGUUUUGGACUACAGGUCCAAAAACUUCACGUUUAGAAAGUGAAUCCAAUUAUACUUGAAUUGCAUCUUUCCAUUUUGACCAAUCUUUUCUAUUUUUACAUUCCUUAAUAGAUUUAGGCUCAGGAUCCUCAUUUUCUAAUGUUAUUUCAAUAGCAACAUUAUAAGCAAAAUUGUUGUCGACAACUACAUUAUUUUUGGUUCCAUCUUUUUAUCGUAUUGACAUAACUUAUCGAUAUCUCUUUAUUUUCAUCAUUUCUAUUUUCAUUUUAAGGUACCUGAAUCUCUUCUUGAGUUUUAUAAUUAGUUAUAUCAUAGGUCUCUUCAGGAACUCCUGCCUCCACUAUGUGACCGCCUUGAAUGUUUACUCCUUUUCUUUUAUAAGGAUUUUUAUCUUUGGAACCGACCGGUCUUCUAUGCUUCAGGCAUGGAUUACUUUCUUUUGCAUUAACAGUUUGCCCUAUUAGGACAUCAAUUCGUAUUGGAGCAUUUUCAGCUGGUAUUUGAAAUUUAAUGAAUUUGGCAAUUGAUUUGUAAAAUAAAUUAUCUGUUGAACUUCUACUUCACGUUGCUUUGUACGAGGAUCUUAAAUAUUGAUAAUUCAGUUCAAGUACUUUAUUAAUCCAACUUUUAUUCUCUCACUCCAAUGUUGGGAAAACUGACAACUCAUGUCAUAACUAAAUACCGAAUUAAUAGCUCAAAAAUAAUAUAAGGAGACUCAUAUAAAUAUACAUUCCCAAUCUCUUAUUAUGACCCAUCUUUGUGCGUUGUGGUGGAGCAGUUGGAACAUAUAUCGCACAUCUAAAAAAUGUAAGAUGGAAAAUAUUUGGCUCUUAACCAAAAAUCAAUUGUAAUGAAGAGUAUUUAUAAUUUAUUGGCUUGAUGCAUACAACAUGUAAAUCAAUACAAUCUCAUGCUGAAAUAGAAAGUUUUGUUCUCAUAAGUAAUGAUUUAGCUAUUAGUUGGAGGCAUUUGAUAAACAAUUCAGCUAAAUCAUUUUGUGUGUGAUCAUGAGCUACAAGAUGUUUAACUUUUAUCCCAAUUGACAUGCAAUAAUCAUUGAAAACUUGGGAUGUAAACUCACUAACAUUAGCAAGAUAACUUGUUUUAAUUGCAUAAUCUGAAAUUAAUCAUUUAAACAAGCAGUCUCGCAAACAAAAGGUUGCGAGUUGAUAACGCAUGUGAUUAUUUUGUAGAUGCAUCUACCAAAAUCAUAUAAUAUCAAAAUCAUCCACAUGGUGGAUGAAUGGGCCCAUAUUCAUUUCAGAAAUGCAAGACAUUAAAUCUCAACUUUAGCUAGUGAGUUUCUAAGAUUCAACUUUCAUUGAGAACAAGCAACAAAUGAGAAUUCUUUAAAUUAAAUAAUCUUUUGGAUCUUUAAUGAAUGUCCAUAUGAAUUCUCAAUUAAUUUUUGAAUCAUAUAUGAUCCAGGAUGGUCUAACUGGUUACGCCAAGUAGUAAAUGCAUUUGUAUUAGUAAACUUCUUGUUUACUUUAACAUGUGUUUCAAUUGUACUAAAUUGUAAUAAAUUGAUAAUUUUAUUGUCAUUCUUUUAUUUUGUAUCCACAUAUAAAUACUAUAGUGACAUUUACUAUUGGAAAUGUCUAAAUCUAUGUGAAGUCUAUAAUGCCACUAAGUCAAUAAAUAAAUAUAAUUUUCAAAUAAUUAUAUAUAAUAUUCGUUUUAGGGAAUAUGUCAAAAUAUUCAAAUAUAAGGCAUUUGGUCUAGUGGUAUGAUUCUCGCUUAGAGUGCGAGAGGUCCCAAGUUCGAUUCAAAAUAUAAAUAACUCAAUCCUCUUUUGAUUCAUAUCAAAUAUAAUCUUUUCCUCAUUCACAAUCUCAACAUGAGAUCCAUUAUGAAUAUCUUUUAAAACUAAUGCAUUAACUAUCACAAACUUUGUGCUUUUUAGAUAUUGAUAUAUUAUCUCUUCUAGAGCUUUCAAUUAACUUUUUACUAUCAAAUAUUGGAAUAUAUUUGUUUAUUUCAGCACCAAAUAAGAUAAAUAUUUUCUAUCUGUAAUGAUAAAAUUUAUUACUAGAUUCUCAUAUCCUUCCUUAAAGGAUAUUAUCAGAGACAAAAUAUUUGGGCAUGCACCACAUAUGUGACCAGUAAUCUCCAUAUCACAUUGGUAACAUAAGUUAUAUUUACCAUUUGAAAAUUUAUCUUGAGAACUCUCAUUGUUCUCUUAUUUAUUACUAUGUUCCUACUUUUAGUGGUCCAUGAGUAUAUCCUUUAUUUUCUUUAUGUUUACAUUCUCUUCGGGGAAUGCAACAAAUCUAGUAGGAUGGACUUAUAAACAUCCCAAUAGAUUCUUUAUUUCAUAAUCACCAUCGCAAACAUGCGUGAGAUUUAAAUCAAAAUUUAUCUAUUCAUAUUGUCAUGAUUAGUCUCCAAUUAUAAUAAACAUGAUAUAAUACAUAAAACAUAAUAAAAUAUACCUGAAGAUCUUUAACAUCAUCGUCAUCAUAUUGACUAUUAUCACGAGCACUAUUACAAGUAGUAAAACAACUUUGUUUUCGUAAUAACAUUUACAAUCUAAUAGUAAAAAUUAUUUAAUAAAUAAUCAAAAUUUGUGUAUCAAAAUUUUCAUGUACGAUGCUUGAAAAUUAUCUGAUACACAUUGUAUCAAAUUUCAAUACCACAUAUAUGUUAUAAAAUCUUAUCUUGCUCUAAUAAAAUAUUUAUAAGUUCAAUUUAAAAGAUAUCAUACAAUUAUUCAAUAUUAGAAAGCUAAUAAGACUAAAUAGAUCCUAUCAAAUUUCCUUUUAUUCAACAAUGGUAGGUUAUUUAGACUUUCCACCAUAAUUUUAAUAAAAUUUCAAGAAUAAAUAACAAGAAAAAAAAUUUAAAACACAAAAAUAUUAUGCAUAAUAUAAUUUAAUUAAAAAAACUUUAAAAAUAGAAAAAAGAACAUACCAUAUUAAUAGUAAACAUAUCUAAUCAAUAAUUAUGUCUUUUAAAUAAAAAAGCAAAAAUCAAAUACUAUCAGAAUGUGAAAUUUAUGUCAAAUAAAAAUUAAUAGUACUUAUACCUUAAUUGAAAAAGAAAAUAUGGCCGAAAUAUAAAAGUUUCUUACCAAAUCUAUACUUUACCCAUACUUGUACAAUAAAUCAAAGAUCAAAAAUAAGAAUCACAAUCCAUUCUGAGAUUGAAUCUUUCAACAUCCUGAAAAUGAAGUUGUAAGGGAGAGUUUAAGGUGAAAAGGAAUUUGAUUUGUGGGACGACUUCGAAAGAUUUUGAAAAAAAAAGAAAAUCAUCGUGUUGAUAACGUGUUAUAAAAUAAAGAGAGAUGGAGAGAAUAAAAAAUAAAGAAAACAUGAAAACAAUAAAAAAAAUAUACUUUAUUGAUCAAAGAGAUUAUUACAAUGUUUUAUCAGAUUUUAUUUAUAAGCAUAAGAAGAAUAAAAAAGAUAGAGAUCUAAUUCUAAUAACUAUUAAAAUUUAAAAUACAUAAAAAUUUUAUCUUAAGCAUGAUCAACAUCCACUUAACUUAAUAAGAUAUUUAUAAUAAUUUUUAAAUUCUAUAGGCGAAUUAUUAAGUAACGGGACAAGUAGGUGGUGAAAUUAAUAAAAAAAAAAUUCUGAAUUAUUUUUGUAAAAAAGCGGCAAAACCCAGAUUACCACAACAGAUGCAAAAUCUGAUCGGUGAAGUUAAGAAAAUGGAGACCAUGGGAAAUCUUCUAAUCCUUUUUCCAGCUUCUUUAUGCCUCUUCCUUUUCGUUGCUUUGCUCAAUGUUUUCUACAAGUAUUGGUGGAUACCUCAUCGUGUACAGUUCAUCAUGAAUUCACAAGGAAUCAGAGGACCUCCUUAUGAAUUUAUCCAUGGAAACAACAAAGAAGCUGCCCAAAUGCUCAUGGAAGCAUCUACCAAACCUAUGGCCUUGACACAAGAUAUAUUUCCCGAGUCAUGCCUCAUGUUUACUCCUGGAUCAACAAAUACGGUGAGAAUAUGUUUUUUUUUUCUCUUUUUGGGGUUGCAUUUUCUGAUUAACCUCCACUUUUCAAGAAAAGAAAUCAUUUUCUUUCAGGGAGGACUUAUCUUAGCUGGAAUGGAAUUCGAGCUCUACUGCUAAUUACAGACCCAGAUCUGGUGAACGAGGUCCUUAAAAACAGUGAAAAGGCUUUUCCAAAGCCGAAGGCUUCAUAUUUCUUCGACAAGCUACUAGGCGACGGUCUUGGUUCAACCGAAAGUGAGAAAUGGGCAAGGCUAAGGAAACUGGCCCAUUAUGCCUUUCAUGGGGAGAGCUUAAAAGUAAAUCAUCGCCACAUUCUACUCUAAUUAUUGUAGUGGAACAUCUACAAACUUGAUACUUUUUUUCAGAAUAUGAUUCCAGCAGUAGUUGCUAGCGUUGAAACCAUGCUUGAGAAAUGGAAAAGUAAGGAGGGCAAAGAGAUAGAAGUGUUCCAAGAGUUCAGAUUAUUGACUUCAGAAGUGAUAUCCAGAACCGCCUUUGGUAGCAGUUACUUGGAAGGGGAGAAGAUUUUUGACAUGUUGAUGAAGUUGACAGUAAUUGCAGGCAGAAAUAUUUAUAAAGCAGAGAUUCUCAUCAUCAGGUAACUUCAUCAAAUCUUUACUUUGUUAAUCAGCAUACUUCAGCUGCCAAUGGGUUGAUUUAACCUGGUUUUCCUUUUCAGCAAGUUUUGGAAAUCUGCUGAUGAAAUUGAAUCAGAUAAAAUUGCCAAAAUGAUACAUGAUUCUGUGAUGAAGAUUGUUAAAAAAAGGGAAGCCAAAGUAGUGACCGGAGAAGCUGAUAACUUCGGUCGUGAUUUUCUGGGAUUUCUGCUUAUCAUGAGGCGGACGAGAAAAAUAGGCUUUCGAUACAAGAUUUGGUAGAUGAGUGUAAAACUUUCUAUUUUUCUGGGCAAGAAACAGUCAAUUCCUUGCUUGCAUGGGCAACCCUGCUUUUAGCAAUACACACCGAUUGGCAAGAUAAAGCAAGAGCAGAGGUGAUUGAGGUCUUUGAUAAUCAAAACCCAGAUUCUGAAGGGAUGGCCAAAUUAAAGACGGUAAGCAAACUAUACAAAUUCAAUAGCUUGAAAACUAACAGUGAACAUUUAUAUUGCCCUUUGGAUUUCUUUUUCUCCAACAGAUUACCAUGAUUAUCAAUGAAACUUUACGGCUCUAUCCUCCUAUAAGUGGCAUGAUAAGAAAAGUAGGAAGAGAAGUCCGAUUAGGAACACUUGUCCUGCCUACUCAUUCACGGGUCGACAUGCGAAUCAUAGCACUUCACCAUGAUCCUGACUUAUGGGGAGAUGAUGUUGAUCUUUUCAAACCAGAGAGGUUUGCUGAGGGUUAGCCGAAGCUACUAAGUACAAUGCAGCUGCAUUUAUGCCCUUUGGAUUGGGACCUCGAUGUUGCGUAGGCAUGAGCUUUACAAUCAUUCAAGCGAAAAUUGCACUUUCCAUGAUUCUGCAACGCUACACUAUCAACCUCUCCCCUAGCUAUGUUCAUGCACCUUUACAACGUCUUACACUCAGGCCACAACAUGGGAUUCAGUUGUUGUUUCAUUCACUACGUUAUGAUGCUUAAAAUUCUAGGCUGUUGGUCUCCAAUAUAGUAAUAUAUAAUAAAAUGUGGGUAAUACUGUAUUUUGCAACCAUAUGAUGAUAUAUGGUUUUGGGAUUUCAUGUUUUGUUGAUAUUGUUAAAGGUUAAAAAGGUAUUACAGCAAACGUCGCCACCACAGGAGCAGGCCCUACAGUCCUGUACAUAACAUAAUCAACAACAAAAUAGUCCACCAAAGAGAAAUCAAUUCAAACUACCCCAAAAAGCUGGAACGGCAGCGGCAAAUCCAGUCAGCUCCCUGAACAUUAUACAGCAACACAGGAACAAGAACAUCACAACCCAGUCAUAUACAUGCCAUGAAGACAUUGGACUCCACAUUUUGCUAAAGUAUCAGCAAAGCAGUUAGAUUCUCUAUACACAUUCACAAAGGAGACAUUAUGGGAUCUCAUCACACAGCUUGGAAUAUGACCCAUCCAGCAUUUGAGAAACGGUGAAGAUGUCAAGUCCAGGAGCUCCAAACAAUGCCUCAGCCGGUGGACCCUAUAAUUAGGUGUCUUUCUUCCAUUACUACUGCAGUAGUGAAGUUUUUAUUGCACUUGGUUCCCUUCUUCCAGAGUUUCUGCUUGAAGCACUCACUCCUGGAGCCGGCCAUUGCUUGUUUUCAUUUUUAAUUUUUUAAUAUAAUAUAUUACAAAAUAUGAAUGGUCGUUAAAAUUUAUUGCUAAAUGUUGUAUUACCAUUGCUAAAAUUUUAUUUUAACAAAAAAAAUCGUUGUGAGUUCAUCAUGUAUACCUCCUUUGUAUAAAAUAUGCACAGAAAUUGAAAAGUCGUUUUUAAUUAUAUAUAUUGUAACAUCUUUUUUCGUUUUAAAAUAUAUUUUUUUUCUUAGCGAUAUAAUUUGUUUAUCUAAUAGUGUUUUAGUUAUAAUAAAAUUUGUUACAAUAUCUUUAACACAAUGAUAAUAUUUACAAAUACUAUUACGUAACAAUAGUAUAUUGGUUGCAAAAUAAAAUUUGCAAUAAUGUAAAAUUAAAUUGCUAAGCUUUUUACGUAACAAUAAUAAUAUUGAUUACCAAAUAUUAUUUUGUAAGGAUAUUUUAUUUGGUUGUGUAUUACAUUGUGCAAUGAUUAUAUUUCAUUGCCAAAAAAAUAUUUUAGCAACCAUUAAACGUGGUUGUCAAAUCAAUUACGUAACAAUAAUACUAUUGGUUGUUAAAUAUUAUUCUGCAAUGAUGUUUUAAUUGGUUGUGUACUAAUUGUGCAACAACUGUAAAAAUUUAUUUAAACAACCAUAAAAUGUGGUUGCCAAAUAGUUUGCGCAACAACAACAACAAUAAUAUAGUUGCUAAUGCAUUUACAUAACAAUUUUUACUUAGUUAUGAAAUAUUAAUUUACAAUGACAUAAUAUUUGGUCACGUCUUAUAUUACACGAUAUUUAAAUAUUGUGCAAAGUUAAUUUUAACAACCAUAAUAUUUUGUUGCAAUAUUUUUAUAUGUAACCAUAUUAUAAUGUUCGUUGAAAUUUAUUUUGCACCAAAACGUUAUCUAAUUGAUAAUAAAAAGAAGUAAUUACAAAUAUUAAAGAAAUUAGUUAUUUGUUUAAAAACAAUAUUACCAAAAUUUUAAGCUCGUUUGUUAGAGUCCAGCCUAAAAAUGGGCCUAAAUUUUUUUCAAGUCCAACCCAGAUAAAAAUGUCAAACCCGGUCCAACCUCGUCUUCUCGAAUGAGGGUUAGCAAAAUUCGAUUUAAUUCAAAAAAUUUAAUAAAAUAUUCAAAUUUUAAAUUAAAUAGUUCGAGUUAUUAAUGUUAAUCGAUUUAUUUGGAUUAACUCGAAUAAAAAAAAUUAAAAUUUUCAGUUUAACUCGAAUAUGAAUUACAUAAUUCGGGUUAUCUGAAAAUCUGAAUAAAAAAAUAUAAAACUACGUUGUUUUGAUAAAUAUUUAGAUUUUCUAAAGUUGAAGCCAAAACCAUUAAGUUAAAAACAAAACAAUUAUAUUGUUUAUGUAGUUAUAUAAUCUUGUAUUUCGUCUACUAGUUAAAUAAGCGGCCCAUGUAAAUGCAACAUUGAGUAUAAAUAAUAGGAUUUGUUAACUCUAAUUGACUUGACUCAAAAUUUUUUGACUCUAUUCGAUUCGAAAAAUUUUCAAAUUGAGUUCGGUUAAUAGGAUUCGUCAACUCGACUAACUCAAAAUUUUUUUACUCGAUCUAAUAUUCACCCCUAUUUCUAAACUAUAACAGUUAAUGGAAACUUGUUAAGUCAUAAAAAAUUCAAGUAAAUGUUUUAAACUUGAGUUUUAUGAAUACAAAAAAUAAUUUUAAAAGCUAUUUUAAAUUAUAAAAUUUAUUUGGUAUAAAUUAAAAUUAAAUACAAAAUAUAAUUAGAUUGUUUGAUAAAAUAUAAUUUUUUAAGAAUUUAAAGGUGGGGUAUUUGAAGGAUUUAAAAGAGAUAAAAUAAGAAUAAUUGAAACAAAUUCUACAUUAAGUUAUUUAUCUACUUUUCAUUUUCCACAUCUUUUCGUAGAAAAAUCCAAUCAUUUGUCUUUUAUUAUGAAUCAUCAAACUUGCUUAAAAACAUAAAUUAUUAGUUGAUUUAUUUUGUUUUCAAUUCAUUAUCAAACAAGCCCUUAGUUAAUGUUCUCCAAGUUCAAGUGCCAUUUAUGUCAAAAAAAAGUUUAAGUAAUAGUAACAUAAACAUUCAUUUAAUUAUAACAAUAAAGUUAAAGCCAUGAAUAUUUUCAAAAAAAUUCAAUUAAGUCCUUGAAUGUUAAAAUUUCAAUCAAUUAAGCUCUUUGAUAGUUAAAGUUAACAGUUAAUUGUUGUAGUUAAAAUUUCAAUCAAUUAAGGCACGGUGUAGCGUUUGUUUACCUCAUCCUUUAACCAUGUGGUUGAGGGUUCAAUCCCCACGUAUGGGAAUAAAGCACAUUUCAUGCUCAAUUAUUUACCUAUUUGGAGAGCACUCAUAGUGAGGAGAUUAAACCUUGUUAUUGCUGGUGAAUACCCUAAUUAUGACAAAUAAAAAAUAACAACUACCAUUUUUUUUGGAUUAUUUUUGUCAAGUGGUGAAAAUUAUUUUAAUUUUUAUUAAAAAUCAUAUAAAAAGUAUAAAAAUUAUACAAGAAUUAUAAAAAUGCAUAAAUUAGAAAAAAUAUAUAUAAAAAAAUCUAUUGUGAAAACAUAAAAUUAUAGAAAUAUAAUUGCUCCCCCAAAUUCCAUGUUUCCUCUAACUCGUCUAACUGGAUUCUCCCUUAGAAUCAACUUAUUUGGAUUGUGAAAAUCUCCAUCCGAUAUUGAGCAAUUUGCACAAAUGUUGGUAACAUUUUAUAAAAUUAUUUUUUUUGUAAAAAAAAAAGUGAAAAGAAAAUCCAAUUAUAUGGAAUUGGUUUAUUCUCUAUGCAUGUGGAUCACCAUUUGAACAAGCAUAGACGACAAGGUGGACUCGUGAAAAGAAAACAUUUGUUGCAUCAUUGUUGUUUCCAUAUUCUCGCCUACCCAAAGCAGAAAUAAAGGGUGAAUUUGGCAUAUUAGCACCAUUUCUACCUCCUUUCUCCCUCUAUAUAAACCUCUUCCCACCCAAGCUGCCAUUGCCAAAACCCAUCAACUUCACCUCUAUUCUUCUUACUUGAGACCUAUAUUUAGUCUUGAAAUUUGACUCUGAAAAUGGGUUUCGCAUUUGCAUAUCGACUUAUCUUAGUCGUGGCAGUUGCUUCCGUGUUGGGAAUAAGCCUGGCAAAUAAAGACUGGGGCUCCCCUAAUUCCAACUACACUGGUUGGGGUUGGGGCUGGGGCUGGGGCUCCUCGAAGUCUAACCACACUGGUCAAGGCUUUAAUAACCAUCCCGUGAAUGAAACUCAAGGACCCAAAAAGAUAAUUGUUGGUGGAUCAGAAAACUGGCAUUUCGGCUUCAACUACUCCGAUUGGGCAUUCAACAAUGCACCCUUUUACUUCAACGAUACUCUAGGUGAGUCCAUAAUAUUACAUUUUACAAACCAAAGAAAUGGGAAGCUACCUUGUUUUUAUAUUUAUUUGCUGAAAUAAAUGAUGUUUUGAAUUGGUUUGCGUAGUGUUCAAGUACGAUCCACCAAGCAACACCACAUUCCCUCACAGCGUUUACUUGUUUCCCGACCGAUGGAGCUACUUGAAUUGCGACUUAAAGAGAGCGAAGAUGGUGGCAAAUGCAACCCAAGGCGGUGGCGAUGGGUUCGAGUUUGUGCUCAAGAGGUGGACACCCUAUUACUUUGCUUGUGGUGAACGUAAUGGCUUCCAUUGUAAGGUCGGCAGCAUGAGGUUCAUGGUGAUGCCACUCUUUCGUUGGCAUUACUAGAAUACUUGGGAGAUGAUCACAAAUUAAGGAAUAUCGACAUCCAAUAUAACAAAGAUAUUUAGACUUCGAUGACAAAAUUAAUGUGUAAUCGUUUCUUAAAAUGAUGAAUAAUUUAACUGUCAUCUUAUUAUUUAUUUUAUCAAUAAUUUCGUUACAGGUUUUUUUUUUUACACAAUGUUUAGAAUUAUCUAUAGUCUCUUUCUAACCUAUAAAUAGGAAAGUAAUGCGCUUUAACACACUCGAAUUCACAUCCUCCUGCAUUGACAACAAUAUCCAUGCCAAUUGAAUUAAAACUCAAUCGACUUCUUAAUUUAUUUCAAAAGAAAAAAAUACAUCUUUAAUUUGGACCUUUACUUAGUUAACUAAUUUAAAAGACAUUAAAUCUUCUUUAAUUCUACAGUGAUCUGUAAGUUUGAACAUCCAUUUGCCAUGUUAAUGUUAAGUGAUAUAUAUACGGGGCUUAUAGGGAUAGAAAGCCUUUAAGAAAGAAAAUUUUAUGCCCUUCAACUUAAUUCACACUCAAUUAAGUUGUUAUCCUUAAUUCACACUCAAUUAAGUUGUUAUCAUUAAUCCAAAAAAUUAAUUAAGUCCCUUAAUUGUUGAUUUUCAUCUUUGAUCCCGUUGAUGAUUAAAAUUAGCUAAUCGGAUGGCGGUAUUUACCUAAUUCAUAUUUAAUUUUUUAUUUUUCUAAUAAAAAUUAUUAAAAAUUAUAAAUACAAUGUCAAAUUUACCCUCAAUGUUUGCAUUUUUAUUAAUUUAGUCCUUAUUUUGUUUAAACUAAAUUUAAUCAUUAAUCUUUCAAAAAGAGUUAAAUCGCUCUUUUUUUAAUGAAGAUGUUGACUAAAACACUGAUUUUUUAAUGAUGGUGCGACAACCCGCGUUAUAUUUUGUACUUCAUAUUGACAUGACAUUAUUUGCCUUUUAUAUUACGUCAAUAAAUGAUUUAAAAUUUAUAAAAAUAUUAAACAAAACUCAAAAUUUAAGAAAUUAUAAAAAAAUCAUAAAAAAAAAUAAGAAAAAUAGUAUGAAAUACAUUUAGAUUGCCACGUAAGCUAUUAUGUUUAAAAUUUUAACAUUUUAAUUAGUAUUUUCAUUAUUUUUGUUAAAAAAAUAACAACUCCAUUCUUUUCGAAAAGUUGAUUAAAUUCGUUUUUUUUUAAAGGUGAAAUUUAACUUGCAAUUGGAGAAGGAGGAGUCGCUAUAUAAGCCAAGGUGAAGGUGCAACAAAGGGUAUUGGGUUCAUGCAAUGCAUUGGGUUAAAAAAAUGUUUUUUCCGAGUUUUUAUAAUUUUGUAUGAUUUUUCUUAUAAUUUUUUUUAUUUUUAUAAAAAAAAUAAAAGAUUAAAUCUGAAGUUACCAUUUAUCUAGGUUGAUUUUAAUAAUCAACAAAAUCAAUAACGGAAGAGUUAACAGUAAAAUUUGAAUGGUUGCAAGGGGCUUAAUUAUAUUUUUAAUUAUUUUUGGUUUAAGAGCUUUUUAGAGGGAUGAGUGGGAAUUUCUAUUUAUUCAAUCAAAGUAGAGUACAAACAUGGCAUAAUGAAGUCCCAAAGCAUUAGAAAGUGCAAGAUCGUGGAACCUAAAAGUUACUAUUCCUGGCUUAUAGUUGAAUGUUUUCGAAGCCAAAGUUUGAAAAUGAAAAUGACAAUCAACAGGUAAAGCUGUCAUUAUUACAUCACAUAAACGUAUGACUAACUAUGUCCUGUCAACCCCAGAUCAAAGUAUGGCACUUUUCACAUUUUGUUAUGGUAGUGGAGAAGACGUAACACAAUCCAAGAACUAAAACUGAACUGAAUGAUCAAAGGCAAUUUACAAAAUUCCCCACCUACCACCAUUAGCCAACGGCGGCACCUCGGCUCACCCACCAUCACAAUCAUAUGAUUUUUCACACUGCUUCUAAACUUUAACUGUUAAUGGAAACACAAGGAAAUGGUAAACACAGUUCAAUGCUCUCUGACCAAUAACUUUUAAAACCCAAGAAAAACCAACGCCAACCCAUAUAAUUCCCAAACCCAAGCAAAAUCAACAUUUAAAAUGGGUUUAGUUUCAGAAUCUUUUAAGGCAGUUUGGAGUUUGGUAUCAAUAUGAGAAAAAAAAAACAAAGAUUUAAGUAUCAAUGUGGAAAACAGGUAUAAUUUGAAGGCUAAAAUGAGAAUAAAGCCAAAUAUUUGCCAUAUCAUUGCUGUUUCCAUUUUCUCGCCUACCCAAAGCAGAAAAAAAGGUCAAUUUGGCACAUUUGCACCAUUUUCCACCUCCUUUCUCCCCUUUAUAUAAACCUCUUCCCCAACAUGCCAUUGCCAAAAACCAUCAACUUCAACUCCAUUUUCUUUUAGCUGAAUCUUAUAUUGAGUCUUGAAAUUUGACUCUGAAAAUGGGUUUCACGUUUGCAUAUCGACUUAUCCUAGUUGUGGCAACUGCUUCCGUGUUGGGAGUAAGCCUGGCUAAUAAGGACUGGGGCUCCCCUAACUCCAACUACACUGGCUGGGGUUGGGGUUGGGGCUCCUCUAAGUCUAACCACACUGGUCAAGGCUUUAAUAACCAUCCCUUGAAUGAAACUCAAGGAUCCAAAAAGAUCAUUGUUGGUGGAUCAGAAAACUGGCAUUUUGGCUUCAGCUACUCCAAUUGGGCAUUCAACAAUGCACCCUUUUACUUCAACGAUACUCUAGGUGAGUCCUUAAUAUUACAUUUUACAAACCAAAGAAAUGGGAAGCUACCUUGUUUUUAUAUUUAUUUGUUGAAAUAAAUGGUGUUUUGAAUUGGUUUGCAUACGUAGUGUUCAAGUACGAUCCACCAAGCAAUACCACAUUCCCUCACAGCGUUUACUUGUUUCCCGACCGAUGGAGCUACUUGAAUUGCGACUUAAAGAGAGCAAAGAUGGUGGCAAACACAACCGAAGGCGGUGGCGAUGGGUUCGAGUUUGUGCUGAAGAGGUGGACACCCUAUUACUUUGCUUGUGGUGAGCGUAAUGGCUUCCAUUGUAAGGUCGGCAGCAUGAGGUUCAUGGUGAUGCCACUCUUUCGUUGGCAUUACUAAAAUCUUGGAGAUUAUCUCAGAGAAAGAUCGACAUCCAACAUAACUCACAUAUAUAUAGAGUUUUAUUUCACUUUGUUGACAAAAUUAAUGUGUGAUUGUUUCUUAAUAUGGUUGAGAAGCUACUAGUUUGGUUUAUUUUAUGUUGUAAUGAUGCAAAAUAAGCCGUGUUAUAAUUGCACUUAAAGUUUAUAUUGAUGAACAAAUUAACCUUUCUUAAUUUGUUUCAAAGAAAGAAGUUUAAUGAGGGCAAUCUCUUUAAUUUUAUACUUUACUCAUUUAAAGUAUUAGAUACUUUUAAAUCUGCAAUAUUUAGAAAUUUGUUUAAUAUCAUAUAUUAUUAGAGUUAAUACAUUAAUAAUCAAAUAUUUAAGUUUUUAUAGGUGAAUGAAUCACAAGUAAAGUGACAAAAGAUCUGCAUUCAAAUAAUCAAUUAACACCAAUCUCGAGUUCAAUCUUGAACAACAUUAACCCUUACAGAAAAAGAUUUUGGAUACCAGCAUGGAAUUGAUCACUCAUUGACAUACAGGGGCAUAGCAAAAGGGGCGGGAGGGGCCUUGGCCCCCUUUGACUGGAUGGAUUAUUUGUUAUUUUAGUACUUUCUAAAUGUAAAUGGUUCAAUUUUUUAGCUUGUUUUAAAUAAAAGAAAUUUAAUUAUAGCCCUUUCAAAGUUUAAAAAAUACAAUUUAAAUCAUUUUAAUGCAAAUUUUUUAACUUUGACCCCAAUUUUUUUUUAGUUUUAUUUUUACUCCCAUCACAUAAUUCUUAGCCCCCAUUGGUAUGCUCAUGGAUAAAGGCAUACGACAGGGGCGAAGUUAGAAAAAUCUUUUAAAGGAGUAGAAAUUAAAUUGUAAUUUUUACGAUAGUAAAAAUGUAAUUUCACCAUUUUAAUAGCUUAUAUCUUUAUAAUUUUUAAAGAAUUAAAUCAAAUUUUUUUCAUUUAGAGAGAUUAAAAUAUAAUUUUAACUUUACUAAUUUAAAAAUUAUUUUUAGAAGUGAGGUACCCUUCCAUUAGCAUAUUAUACACUCCUUCGCAAAGAACUUGAUAGUGGCGAAGUUAAAGUGUUAAGGGUGUAGAAAAAGGCCUUGUCUGUUUUGAUUAAAUGAAAAAGAAUUUCCUUUAAAUCCUCUCAAAAUAGAAAUCAUUUAACUUAAUCCUUUUAGCUCUUGAAUGAAAUAAAAUAUUACAAAUUAGAGACUAGGCUACGGUUUAUUGAGGAAAAAGAGAAAGACAAUCAAUCGAGUUACCUCCUAUGACCAAGUUACCUCCGCUCCAAACGAGUUGAAUUCGACUCCAUAACAGACGGGGGACGUCUGAUUUCACCAAUCACUAUAGAACCUUCCAGAAUAUAAAGACUGACGGUUCUUUUACCUUUUAACAAAACGAGAGCUCCACGAGAUACUUUAAUGUCGGUCGACUCGAUGUUGAUUCUGCAUCCUUUCAAGUCUGAAAAACUCAAAGAGAUGAGAUUCUUUCGUAAAUUAGGUACAUACCUGACAUCUGAGAGUGUCCUAAUCAUCCCGUCGUGUAUCAUAAUUUUAACAGUACCAAUACCAAUUACCUUACUAGAUGAAUCGUUUCUUAUGCGCACAACUCCACCUUUAACCGAACUGUAUGUGGAGAACCAUUCUCUAUUGGGACACAUGUGGAAAGAACAUCUCGAAUCUAGGAUCCACUCGGACGUGAGCUUGGAGUUAUCGCUCAUUGACACUAAUAAGAAAUCAUCACUGCUUUCAUCGGCCAAAUUAGCACUAGCUACAUCUUCCUCGUUACUCUCAGCAGGUCUUUUAUUUUACAGUUUAUAACAAUUUGCUUUAACGUGACCUAACUUUUUACAAUAGCGACACCUUUUGUCUCGUUUCUUUGAUGCUAUCAAAAUGGAAGCUUGCCUAUCUGCCUUACUAUCCAAACCAAACUCAUUGUCGAGUUUGUCUCUACUCAACAAAUGACCCUUCACAUAUUGGAACGAGAGUUUGUCUCUGCCAUAAAUCAAGAUCUCCCUCAAAGACUUGUAUGAAUGAGUAAAGAGCACAAUAAUAGCAUAGUCUGAUCUUCAUCGUCAAUAUGAACCUCAAUGUUCUUUAAAUCAUUUAAAAGAGUAAUGAAUUGACUGAUGUGAUCUCUAAGAAGUUCACCUUCGUUCAUGCGAAACGUAAAUAGACGUUGUUUCAACACUAAACGGUUAGCCAGAGACUUAGUCGCAUAAAGAGUUUCUAACCUUUUCCACAAGGCAGAUGAGGUCUUCUCCAUCAACACAUCUUGCAAUACCGUAUUUGUGAGGCACAACUGGAUUGCAGAUAAGGCCUUUUCAUCAAGCUCUUCCCAUUCUGUUUGAUUUAGAUUCUCAGGCUUUUUUCCGAUAACAACCUUUUUCAAGCCGGUUUGAACUAGAAUUGCCAUCAUCCGAACUUGCCACAGAUUGAAAUUUGUCUCACCAUCGAACUUUUCAAUUUCAAACCUUAUUGCUACCAUCUCUGAAUGAGCUGAUUUAUGAAAAUUAAAUUAGCUCUGAUAUCACUUGUUAGGAUCGAUCCGAUUAAGUAACAAGUAAAAAAAUAACGGAAUAAAUUGAGAAAUUGAACACACAAAUUUAACGUGAAAAAACCUCUCCAAAAGGAUAAAAAAAUCACGGGCAAAGAUAAUUUUAUUAUAAUGGCAAAAGAACAAAAAGUACAAAAGAUGAAGAUAAAAACUAAACUCCAAAAACCCAAAAACAAAGAACCCUUAAAACGUAAAUACAAAAUUCUCUAAAUAUAUUAUGAGUUCUAAUCUCUAAUGGGUGUAUUUUUUAAGGUUGUAAAAGAGCCUAUUUAUAAGCUAAAUUAAUAGGUCAAAUAAUAAUAAAAUAAUCUCGCCUAAUUAGAGUUUGAUUGAAACAAAUAAACAGAGUUUAACUGAAAGAUUAUUUCUCAAAUUUGACUGAAAUAGGAGUCAUACUCAACACUAAGAAACUGGCCCAUUAUGCCUUUCUUGGGCAGAGCUUAAAAGUAAAUCAUCGCCACCUUCUACUCUAAUUAUUGUAGUGGAACAUUUACAAACUUAUACUUUUUUGCAGAAUAUGAUUCCAGCAGUAGUUGCUAGCAUUGAAACCAUGCUUGAGAAAUGGAAAAGUAAGGACGGCAAAAAGAUAGAAGUGUUCCAAGAGUUCAGAUUAUUGACUUCAGAAGUGAUAUCCAGAACCGCCUUUGGUAGCAGUUACUUGGAAGGGGAGAAGAUUAUUGACAUGUUGAUGAAGUUGACAGUAAUUGCAGGCAGAAAUAUUUAUAAAGCAGAGAUUCCCAUCAUCAGGUAACGUCAUCAAAUCUUUACUUUGCUAAUCAACAUACUUCAGCCGCCAAUGGGUUGAUUUAAUCUGGUUUUCCUUUUCAGCAAGUUUUGGAAAUCUGCUGAUGAAAUUGAAUCAGAUAAAAUUGCCAAAAUGAUACAUGAUUCUGUUAUAAAGAUUGUUAAAAAAAGGGAAGACAAAGUAGUCACUGGAGAAGCUGAUAACAUCGGUCGUGAUUUUCUGGGAUUACUUGUAAAUGCUUAUCAUGAGGCGGACCAGAAAAAUAGGCUUUCGAUACAAGAUUUGGUAGAUGAGUGUAAAACUUUCUAUUUUGCUGGGCAAGAAACAGUCAAUUCCUUGCUUGCAUGGGCAACCCUGCUUUUAGCAAUACACACCGAUUGGCAAGAUAAAGCAAGAGCAGAGGUGAUUGAGGUCUUUGAUAAUCAAAACCCAGAUUCUGAAGGGAUGGCCAAAUUAAAGACGGUAAGCAAACUAUACAAAUUCAAUAGCUUGAAAACUAACAGUGAACAUUUAUAUUGCCUUUUGGAUUUCUUUUUCUCCAACAGAUUACCAUGAUUAUCAAUGAAACUUUACGGCUCUAUCCUCCUAUAAGUGGCGUGAUAAGAAAAGUAGGAAGAGAAGUCCGAUCAGGAACACUUGUCCUGCCUAUUCAUUCAGAGGUCGACAUGCGAAUCAUAGCACUUCACCAUGAUCCUGACUUAUGGGGAGAUGAUGUUGAUCUUUUCAAACCAGAGAGGUUUGCUGACGGCUGAAACUACUAAGUACAAUGCAGCUGCAUUUAUGCCCUUCGGAUUGGGACCUCGAUCUUGCGUAGGCAUGAGCUUUACAAUCAUUCAAGCGAAAAUUGCACUUUCCAUGAUUCUGCAACGCUACACUAUCAAUCUCUCCCCUAGCUAUGUUCAUGCACCUUUACAACGUCUUACACUCAGGCCACAACAUGGGAUUCAGGCCACAACUUUUUUUUUGUUUUAAAAUAUAAUUUCUUUCCUAACGAUAUAAUUUGUUUAUCUAAAAGUGUUUUAGCUAUAAUAAAAUUUGUUACAAUAUCUUUAACACAAUGGUAAUAGUUACAAAUACUAUUACGCAACCAUAGUAUAUUGGUUGCAAAAUAAAAUUUGCAACAAUGUAAAAUUAAAUUUGCUAAGUUUUUUACGUAACAAUAAUAAUAUUGAUUACUAAAUAUUAUUUUGUAAGGAUAUUUUAUUUAGUUGUGUAUUACAUUGUGCAAUGAUUAUAUUUCAUUGUCAAAAAAAUAUUUUAACAACCAUUAAACGUGGUUAUCAAAUCAUUUACGUAACAAUAAUACUAUUUGUUGCUGAAUAUUAUUUUGCAAUAAUGUUUUAAUUGGUUGUGUACUAAUUACGCAACAACUAUAAAAAUUUAUAAAUUGAGUUCGGUUGUUAAAAUAGGAUUCGUUAACUCGACUAAUUCAAAUUUUUUUUACUCGAUCGAAUAUUCACCACUAUUUCUAAACUAUAAUAAUGGAAACUCGUUAAGUCAUAAAAAAUUCAAGUAAAUGUUUUAAACUUGAGUUUUAUGAAUACAAAAAAUAAUUUUAAAAGCUAUUUUAAAUUAUAAAAUUUAUUUGGUAUAAAUUAAAAUUAAAUACAAAAUAUAAUUAGAUUGUUUGAUAAAAUAUAAUAUUUUAAAAAUUUAAAGGUGGGGUAUUUGAAGAAUUUAAAAGAGAUAAAAUAAAAAUAAUUGAAACAAAUUCUACAUUAAGAUAUAAAUAGUUAUUUAUCUACUUUUCAGUUUCCAUAUCUUUUCGUAGAAAAAUCCAAUCAUUUGUUUUUUAUUAUGAAUCAUCAAACUUGCUUAAAAACAUAAAUUAUUAGUUGAUUUAAUUUUUUUUAAUUGAUUAUCAAACAAGCCCUUGAUUCAAGUGCCAUUUAUGUCAAAAAAGUUUUAAGUAAUAGUAACAUAAACAUUCAUUUUAUAACAAUAAAGUUAAAGCCACGAAUAUUUUCAAAAAAAUUCAAUUAAGCCCUUGAAUGUUAAAAUUUCAAUCAAUUAAGCUCUUUGAUAGUUAAAGUUAACAGUUAAUUGUUAUAGUUAAAAUUUCAAUCAAUUAAGGCACGGUGUAGCGUUUGUUUACCUCAUCCUUUAACCUUGUGGUUGAGGGUUCGGUCCCUACUUAUGGAAAUGAAGCACAUUUCAUAGUCAGUCAUUUACCUAUUUGGAGAGCACUUAUAGUGAGGAGAUUAACUACUGUUGUUGUUGGUGGAUACCCUGAUUAUGACAAAUAAAAAAUAACAACUGUCUUUUUUUUUGGAUUAUUUUUGCCAAGUGCCAUGCUAAGAUUGUGCCACGUGGUAUGAAAUUAGAAAAAUCAUAUAAAAAUUAUAAAAGAAUUAUAAAAAUGAAUAAAAUUAGAAAAAAAUAUAUAAAAAAUCUAUUUUUAAAAGGUUAAUAAAUUUUAUAUUUUAUUAUUUUUAAAAGGAUAAUAAAUUUUUAAAAGGUUUUUUUUAUUCUUAUAUUUUUAAGGGCGAUUUAAAUUUAAUUUCAAAAUAGGGCAUGCCUAAUAUAUAAAUAGACAUUUAAUUGGUGUCCAAGAGGAAUGGCGUCACUCCUAUUUUUCAUCUAGUUUAAAAAUAAUAAUUACUUCAUCAGGUAUCUGAACAUUUUAUAUAAUUUUUUUUCAGUUCGAUGUCACCAAUAACAACGACGACACCCAAAAUAUAUAUUUUUUAAAACUACCAAUGACAAUGAGUCACCGACAUUUACUGUUUAAAAUGAGUUUCAAAAUAAGUCAUUUUUAUAAAUAAUUAAAAGUUUUGGGUAUUUUUAAUAAAAAAGCCUAAGUUUGAUGAAUGGCGUCAGCCAUUAUGUAGGUCUACUUAAUACGAAAACGACGGCUUGGUUUUGUUGGCCAAAAGGAAAGUACCUUUUGGGUUUUGCUUUGCCCAAAUGCUAGCAAAGUCUUUGCAUGCAUUUGUUUGAUUGGAAAAGUGAGAAAUAGAUGAACAUGGUAAGCACAAAUUCUAGACAUUACCAUAUCACCUAUAAAAUUUAGUUAUCUUUUUAAUUUCUUUUGGUGUAUUAUAAAAAAAAAUUCUAAUAACACGACUUGAAUCAAAUCAUAUCUUAGUCAAGAGAUGGGGUUAUUUUAAUUUUUGUCUAUAAAAAGAAUCUUGUUCAUUGAGGGCCCUAGUAGGAGGUAUUGAAUAAGAACUAGAAGUCAAAUCCUGCACGCUUCCCAUUUCUGUGUAUUGAAUUGGCUGUAAUUUUCAAAGGACAUGAACCUUGAAGAGGGACAAGUGUAGUCUCUUGAUGAUAAAUGUGUUGACUGUCACCUUGCAAAACCCAGAUUACCAUAACAGGUGCAAAAUCUGAUCGGUGAAGAUAAGAAAAUGGAGACCAUGGGAAAUCUUCUAAUCCUGUUUACAGCUUCUUUAUGCCUCUACCUUUUCGUUGCUUUGCUCAAUGUUUUCUACAAGUAUUGCUGGAUACCUCAACGGGUACAGUUCAUCAUGAAUUCACAAGGAAUCAGAGGACCUCCUUAUGAAUUUAUCCAUGGAAACAACAAAGAAGCUGCCCAAAUGCUCAUGGAAGCAUCUACCAAACCUAUGGCCUUGACACACGAUAUAUUUCCCAGAGUCAUGCCUCAUGUUUACUCCUGGAUCAACAAAUACGGUGAGAAUAUGUUUUUUUUUCCUUUCUUGGGUAGUAUUUUCUGAUUAACCUCCACUUUCCAUGAAGAGAAAUCAUUUUCUUUCAGGGAAGACUUAUCUUAGUUGGAAUGGAAUUCGAGCUCAACUGCUAAUUACAGACCCAGAUCUAGUCAAAGAGGUCCUUAAAAACAGUGACAAAGCUUUUCGAAAGCCAAAGGCUUCAUAUUUCUUCGACAAGCUACUAGGCGAUGGGCUUGCUUCAACCGAACGUGAGAAAUGGGCAAGGCAAAGGAAACUGGCCAAUUAUGCCUUUCAUGGGGAGAGCUUAAAAGUAAAUCAUCUCUACCUUCUAAUCUAAUUAUUGUAGUGCGACAUUUACAAACUUGAUAAUUUCUUGCAGAAUAUGACUCCAGCAGUAGUUGCUAGCGUUGAAACCAUGCUUGAGAAAUGGAAAAGUAAGGAGGGCAAAGAGAUAGAAGUGUUCCAAGAGUUCAGAUUAUUGACUUCAGAAGUGAUAUCCAGAACCGCCUUUGGUAGCAGUUACUUGGAAGGGGAGAAGAUUUUUGACAUGCUGAUGAAGUUGUCAGUAAUUGCAGGCAGAAAUAUUUUUAAAGCAAAGAUUCCCAUCAUCAGGUAACUUCAUCAAAUCUUUACUUUGUUAAUCAACAUACUUCAGCUUACAAUGGGUUGAUUUAAUCUGGUUGUCCUUUUCAGCAAGUUUUGGAAACCUGCUGAUGAAAUUGAAUCAGAAAGAAUUGCCAAAAUGAUACAUGAUUCUGUGAUGAGGAUUGUUAAAAAAAGGGAAGAGAGAGUAGUGAACGGAGAAGCUGAUAACUUUGGUCGUGAUUUUCUGGGAUUACUUGUAAAUGCUUAUCAUGAGGCGGACCAGAAAAACAAGCUUUCGAUUCAAGAUAUGGUAGAUGAGUGUAAAACUUUUUAUUUUGCUGGGCAAGAAACAGUCAAUUCCUUGCUUGCAUGGGCAACUCUGCUUUUAGCAAUACACACCGAUUGGCAAGACAAAGCAAGAGCAGAGGUGAUUGAGGUCUUUGGUAAUCAAAACCCAGAUUCUGAAGGGAUGGCUAAAUUAAAGACGGUAAGCAAACUAUACAAAUUCAAUAGCUUGAAAACUAGCACUGACCAUUUAUAUUGCCUUUUGGAUUUUUUUUUUCUCCAACAGAUUACCAUGAUUAUCAAUGAAACUUUACGGCUCUAUCCUCCUAUAAGUGGCGUGACAAGAGAAGUAGGAAGAGAAGUCCAAUUAGGAAAACUUGUCCUGCCUACUCAUUCAGAGGUCGACAUGCGAAUCAUAGCACUUCACCAUGACCCUGACUUAUGGGGAGAUGAUGUUAAUCUUUUCAAACCAGAGAGGUUUGCUGAUGGGAUAGCGAAAGCUACUAAGUACAAUGCAGCUGCAUUUAUGCCUUUUGGAUUGGGAUCUCGAUCUUGCGUUGGCAUGAGCUUUGCAAUCACCGAAGCGAAAACUGCACUUUCCAUGAUUCUGCAACGCUACACUGUCACCGUCUCCCCUACCUAUGUUCACGCUCCUGUACCACGUCUUACACUCAAGCCACAACAUGGGAUGCAGUUGUUGUUUCAUUCACUACAUUAUGAUGCUUAAAAUUCUAGGUUGUUGGUCUCCAAUAUAGUAAU